rnacentral:lncRNA from 1 species
AAAAAAAAAAGAAAAAAGUGUGUCCCUAAAACUAGAUAAAAAAUAUAAGAAUGAGCCCAAAAUGAGAAAAAAAAAAAAUUUAUGUGAGUUAAUCUCCACAGUUUAGCAUCAAUAAAAAAAUCAAGCUGAUAGACAUUAGGAUCAUAGCAUAAAAAAAUAUAGAAAAUAAUAGACAAAAAUAAUCACACAGAAUGCCCCUCAACUCACAGUGAAAUAAAUAUAUCUAUUACCUUGUCUAGCCUCUUUGGAAACAAAAAUUUCCUAUUUAGCCUCCUUUUAAAAAAUAUUUCUAAUCUAGCCUCAUUUUUAUAGAUUAAAAAAAAAAAAAAGAUAAAUUAAUACCUUUAAUAUAUAUUAAUAUAUUAAGUGGGUGGAGAUUUUGCAUAAUGUAUAGUCGUAUUAUUCUUAUUUUAUGUCAAAUGUUAUUUUAAAAUAAUUAACUUUAUAUCAAAUAUAGUCAUGUCAGUUCUAUAAUUAAAUCGAGUGUGCAGUCAAGUUAAAUUUUAUAUCAAUUAUAGUCAACUUUAUAUCAUAUCUAAUGUAUAGUUAUAUCAUUUUUAUUUUUACAUAAUGUAUAAUUAUAUUAUUCUUAUUUCAUGUCAAAUGUAUAGUNUCAAAUAUAGUCAUAUCAAUUUUAUAAUUAAAUCCAGUGUGUAGUCAAGUCAAAUUUUAUAUCAAGUGUAGUCAACUUUAUGUCAUAUAAAAUGUAUAUUUAUAUCACUUUUAUUUUUAUAUAAUGUAUAUUCGUAUAAUUUUUAUAUCAUAUCAAAUGUGUAGUCAAGUCAUAUAUCAAAUAUAAUCAACUUAUAUCAUAUUUAAUGUAUAGUUAUAUUAUCUUUAUUUUUAUAUAAUGUAUAAUCAUAUUGUAUUUUGAGUGCGUGUUUUUAUCAGAUUUUUAAUAAUGUCAUAUAUAUAUAUAUAUAUAUAGUCAAAUUAAGUACUAGUAAUAAUAAUAGUAGUAAUAAUAGAAAAUUAUAAUUUAAUAAUAAUGCUAUUUAUUAUUAUUAAUAAAUACUUUUUUAUUAAUAUUAUAAUAAAAAUUAAUUAUUAUUAAAUAUUAAAGAGAUAGUGUAUGUGUAUGGGUAGAGAGAGAGAGAGAGAGAGAGAGAGUACAAGUACGUGUGUGUGUUGGUGGGGACUGGGGAGACAGGAGAGAGGGUGCUGCUAGGAAAGGGUCUGAAAGAGAGAGUAGGGAUGUCUAUCGGUAUGGAUACCCAAAAUUUUAUCCGAAUUCGAACUUGAAUAAAACGGAUAUAUCCGAUACUAAAUGGAUAUGGAUUCGGAUAUGGAUAUCAAAAAUAGAAACCCGACGGAUAUGGAUUUUGACCGUAUUCGACACAAACCCGAACUCGACCUGAACCCGAAUUUAUUUUGUAUUAUAUAUAUCUAUACUAUAUAUAAAAGCAAGCACAUAUUUUAAAUUUCGGUCUGUCGACAUACCCAUUUUUUUGGUAGGAAAAAAAUUAAUUCCGCUUUCUUUACGUAAAAUAAAUAAAUAAAAAAAGAUAAAAUCUCUAUUUCUCUUUAAUUUUCAAACAAAGUAAUGCAAUAAAUAAAAUGCAUUCCUUUCCCCUUAGUUUAAAAAAAAAAGGCGGUUUUUUAGCCAGACAGCUGUAUAGUUUUAAACUUUACGCACUAAAAUAUAUAUCAUAUCUAUAUCUAUCUAUCAUAUCUAUAAUAUAGUGUCUAUCUUUAUUUCUUCUUAAUUUAUUUUUAAGUGUCAUCUAUAAGAGGCUAACCGUUUUUAAACCUAUUCGUAUUUAAAAAAAGACAACAUCUUUAUUACUCUUUUAUUUUCAAACAAAUUAAAAUNNNNNNNNNNNNNNNNNNNNNNNNNNNNNNNNNNNNNNNNNNNNNNNNNNNNNNNNNNNNNNNNNNNNNNNNNNNNNNNNNNNNNNNNNNNNNNNNNNNNNNNNNNNNNNNNNNNNNNNNNNNNNNNNNNNNNNNNNNNNNNNNNNNNNNNNNNNNNNNNNNNNNNNNNNNNNNNNNNNNNNNNNNNNNNNNNNNNNNNNNNNNNNNNNNNNNNNNNNNNNNNNNNNNNNNNNNNNNNNNNNNNNNNNNNNNNNNNNNNNNNNNNNNNNNNNNNNNNNNNNNNNNNNNNNNNNNNNNNNNNNNNNNNNNNNNNNNNNNNNNNNNNNNNNNNNNNNNNNNNNNNNNNNNNNNNNNNNNNNNNNNNNNNNNNNNNNNNNNNNNNNNNNNNNNNNNNNNNNNNNNNNNNNNNNNNNNNNNNNNNNNNNNNNNNNNNNNNNNNNNNNNNNNNNNNNNNNNNNNNNNNNNNNNNNNNNNNNNNNNNNNNNNNNNNNNNNNNNNNNNNNNNNNNNNNNNNNNNNNNNNNNNNNNNNNNNNNNNNNNNNNNNNNNNNNNNNNNNNNNNNNNNNNNNNNNNNNNNNNNNNNNNNNNNNNNNNNNNNNNNNNNNNNNNNNNNNNNNNNNNNNNNNNNNNNNNNNNNNNNNNNNNNNNNNNNNNNNNNNNNNNNNNNNNNNNNNNNNNNNNNNNNNNNNNNNNNNNNNNNNNNNNNNNNNNNNNNNNNNNNNNNNNNNNNNNNNNNNNNNNNNNNNNNNNNNNNNNNNNNNNNNNNNNNNNNNNNNNNNNNNNNNNNNNNNNNNNNNNNNNNNNNNNNNNNNNNNNNNNNNNNNNNNNNNNNNNNNNNNNNNNNNNNNNNNNNNNNNNNNNNNNNNNNNNNNNNNNNNNNNNNNNNNNNNNNNNNNNNNNNNNNNNNNNNNNNNNNNNNNNNNNNNNNNNNNNNNNNNNNNNNNNNNNNNNNNNNNNNNNNNNNNNNNNNNNNNNNNNNNNNNNNNNNNNNNNNNNNNNNNNNNNNNNNNNNNNNNNNNNNNNNNNNNNNNNNNNNNNNNNNNNNNNNNNNNNNNNNNNNNNNNNNNNNNNNNNNNNNNNNNNNNNNNNNNNNNNNNNNNNNNNNNNNNNNNNNNNNNNNNNNNNNNNNNNNNNNNNNNNNNNNNNNNNNNNNNNNNNNNNNNNNNNNNNNNNNNNNNNNNNNNNNNNNNNNNNNNNNNNNNNNNNNNNNNNNNNNNNNNNNNNNNNNNNNNNNNNNNNNNNNNNNNNNNNNNNNNNNNNNNNNNNNNNNNNNNNNNNNNNNNNNNNNNNNNNNNNNNNNNNNNNNNNNNNNNNNNNNNNNNNNNNNNNNNNNNNNNNNNNNNNNNNNNNNNNNNNNNNNNNNNNNNNNNNNNNNNNNNNNNNNNNNNNNNNNNNNNNNNNNNNNNNNNNNNNNNNNNNNNNNNNNNNNNNNNNNNNNNNNNNNNNNNNNNNNNNNNNNNNNNNNNNNNNNNNNNNNNNNNNNNNNNNNNNNNNNNNNNNNNNNNNNNNNNNNNNNNNNNNAAUAAAAUUUAAAUUUGAGUUUAAAUCGUGAAUUAAAUUUAAUUUUAAAUUUUUGAUUUCAAAUCUAUCCAUCUAUUUUAUACUAAAAUUUAAAUUUGAUAUCGUAGAUAUUUUCUAAUAAAAUAUAACAUAUAUAUAUAUAUAUAUAUAUAUAUAUAUAUAUAUAAAGUCCGGCUACUAUGCUAUUAAUAGCAUGAAGCACUUGGUGCUACCAAGUUUUAAUAUAUUUGAUGUUAUAUUUGAAUUUGUAUUUUAAAAAUUUAGAUUUAUUAUAAUAUAUUUUGAAAUAUUGAAAAAAAAAUAAUUGUUUCGUGUUCAAAUUAUCGGGUUCGGGUUCGGGUUCGAGUUUCGGAUUUUUUGUCGGGUUCGGGUUUGGAUAUGUAUUUUUAAAAUCCGCGGGGUUCGGAUUCGGGUUUGGAGUCGGGUUCGGGUUCGGGUUUUUGAAAAUCCGCCUCGAAUCCGACCCGUUGACAUCACUAGGAGAGAGGUGUGGGGUUGGGGAGGAGAGAGAAAGAGAGUGAAAAGAGAUCUCUCAAAAUAGAAGAGGAGAGAGAAAAAGAUAAUCUCCAUCCACUUCACAUAUUAAUAUAUAUUAAAAUGGCUAAAUUACAGAAAAUUCACUUUUCUCCCUGUCAUUAAAAAACUACACUUUGCCCCCUUAUAAAAUAAAAAAUGUGCACUUCAUCCCCUACCAUUAGGGUUCCGUUAUAACAUUUUUUUAUAUGCCAAAAAUACCCCUCUGCCCCUCUUUCCUGUUGCUUCGAUGGCUUCCGGGACGGCGCCCUCACCGGCCUCACCCUCCUCCACGAGCUCAACAUUUUCUUCGACCGCCCCCUCGACGCCAUCUUCCUUAACUCCAACCACCUCCGCCGUCGCCACCCCAUCCCCGCCAACCUCGGCGACUCCCCGGCCUCCAUCAUCGUCCUCGCCCACAACAAACUCGGCGGCUGUAUCCCACCCUCCAUCGGCCGCAUGGCCGACACCCUCAACGAGAUCGUCCCUCGCUGCCUGCGUCCCACCCGAGGCCGGCCUCCUCCGCCGCGGAUGAGGAGGAUGAGGGAGAAGACGAAAAUGGCGAAGGGCAAAAUGGUCAUUUUGUCACACCGUAUUCCUCUGUGAACAUUUUUUAUUUUACAAGGGGGCAAAGUGUAGGUUUUUAAAUAACAUGGGAGAAAGUGAAAAAGCGGAUUUUGACAGAAAAAUUUUCCGUAAUUUAGCCUAUUAAAAUAUUAAUUUAUUUUUUUUAAUUUAUAAAAAUAAGUUUAUAUUAGAAAUAUUUUUAAAAGAAAAUUUUCUCUAGAUAAAAAAUUUUUAUUUCCAACGAGUAAAUAGAUCAUAAAUAUUUCUCUCAUCGAAGGAGGACAAAAGAUCUAGAUAAUUACAUACUAGAUCAUANAAUAGAUCAUAAAUAUUUCUCUCAUCGAAGGAGGACAAAAGAUCUAGAUAAUUACAUACUAGAUCAUAAAAAAAAUAAAUAAAAACGAAAAACAAACCGAUUGUUACUAGCACAUGUGACAAAAAAUUUUAAUAGUUGGUAUCGGAAACUUUAAAUUGCUAGUUGAUUUAUAUUUUUAAUUAAUUUAUUUUUAAAAAAUUAAACGAAACUGAAAUUCAGUUCAAAUCUGUAAAAUCGAAAAAAAUGACCCACUUUUGUAAAAUCGCAAAACUAGUAAAUUUUUUAUGCAAAUUUGCCUUCUAUCUUUCUUAAAAUAAUUAAAAAAAUAAACAAAAAUGUGUCCGGCCAUACGGCCGGGACAGAGAGAGAACCAAGAAGGAUAAAAAGAGGGGGUGUAGAGAGAGACAGAUAAAGAGUUUUUUAAAAAUAUAUUAAUUUUUAGAAGGAUAAAUUUUAAUUUAACGUAGUGCGCCACUUUCUCAACUUGAUUUGAAAAAUUAUUCUUGAAUAUUCUACAAUUUUAUUCUUAUUUCAUCCAAUAAAGAAAUAAAGAAAUAUUUUUUUUUAAAAAAAAUUACAUAACAAUAAAAAUUAAGAUUAAACAUAAAAUACCAUAUUUUUUGGUAUCAAGUAUCAACAACUAAUCAUGUGAAAAAAUAUAACCAUUCAUUAAUUUUAAUUUUCCAAUAACUUUCACGUUUUCAUUAUUAAUUUGUAAUAUUAAAUUAAUUAUCAUAACAUUACAAUCUACGCUAAUUAAUUAUAAUUUUAUAAUAAUUAUCUCACUUUUAUUUAUUAUUAAUUUCUAAUAUUGUCUAUUAAUUCUAAUAUUAUCGAUCGACUCUGCUAUCAUAGUUAAUAAAGGGGCGUUUUAUUUUUAAUAUAAAAAAUUGUUUUUUUAUUUGUUUUAAUUUUACAUAAAAAUAUUUUUUCGAAAAAUUUUUUAACCGAUUUAAAAAGAAUUAAAUUUUCACUUUUUCACUGUUUUACAGCAUAAAAUGAAAAAAAAUUGAACUCUCUAAAAUUUUUUUCAUUCAUUUUUUGUUUUUUGACCGAAACAACUUUUUUUUCUGUAAACCACAUACUACAAAUCGUUGAAAAAAAAAGUCACCAAAAUUUUAUGUUACAAAAAAAAAAAAAAUUUCGCGAUUUUACGUAGAACCAAACAGAGCGGAACCAAACGGAACAUAGACGUAAUAUUUUAAACGACAUAUAUAAUAGCAAAAGUAAAAAAGAAAAAAUAUGCUAAAUCACGCCAUUUACCCAUUUCAACAUUCGAUCACAAGAACACGAGAACACGAGAAACACAUGGUAUGGUAUAUAUUUGUAACUACCUCUCUGUGAUCUCUGAUCUCUCUGAUCUCUUUAUGUAUCAAAGAAAACCCAUGGAUCGACACGAACCCAUGCACCUAAUUGUCUUUGAUAUAUAUAUUCCUGUACUAGCUAGACUGGCCUGAAGGAGGUGAGCUUGCGGAAUCCCUGCCAGGCCUUCUCCCACACCACCGCCUCGUAGCACUCGCUGCCGGCGGCAUCCGCCUCUGCCUGGAGGACGAGGCGGUAGUUGAUGCCGGCGACGACCUGCGUCUCGCCGCGCAGCACCCGGACGAAGGCCGCCACCGCGUACUCCCCGAUCUCCCGCACGUGCGCCUCCCCCACGUCCUCGAUGCGCCGCCACCCCCCCGCCACCGCCCCGCCCCGCGCUUCCCCUUCCACAAGAAGAAGAAGCAGCAGCAGGAGCAGCAGCAGAGGGAGGGCGCGGAGACGAACAGAUCUCAUCGCUCUUUCUUUUUCUUUUUCUUUUUCUUUUUUCCUUCCUUGUGUUUUUUGGGGGAGAGAGAGGAGAGAGGAGAGGAGAGAGUUUUUUAAUUUUUAGGGUUUGAAUUUGGGGGUCCUGAUCCCCUUUAAAUAGAUGGAUAGGAAUCAGGGAGGAUUGAGACGGGCGAGUGCGGAGUGAGUUAGUGCGUGCACCCGGUGUACAAGAUAAUUUUUGAGGGAAAACUUUAAAUACCACUACUGUGGUUUUAUACUUUUUUUUUUUUUUUAUUUUACUGUCUUACAAUUUAAAGUAUAUUAAUUUAGUAUCCUGUGGUUUUAUUUUUCUCUUUUCACUAUCCUCUCCACUAAUUUUUUUUAUUAAAUCAGUGAUAAAGUUAAAACUAAAAAGUACUAAAGUAAAUAUUCGAUAAACUUACAUGAGGUAUCUUAAGUUUUUUGUAUAUAAUAAUUUAACAAAAUGUUAAUAAAGCAGCCGACAAAAAGAGAAAAAUAAAAUUAUAGGGUACUAAAUUGAUACACUUUAACUCACAUGCUACUAAAGUGAGAAAGUGCGAAAUCACAGGGGUGGUUGAAGUUUAUCCUAAUUUUUACUAUAGAGAUCUUAAACUCAGAUAAAUAAAUUAGAUGUGUUUUGUAAUAAUUAAAAGAAUUGGAUAGCGAAACACAAAUAAUUUAGAAUCCUUUCAGGUCAGCAAAUUUUAUAAUAUAACUUAGCUAACUAAAUGAUGGCACAUCGGUUAUGUAACGUUGAUCCGAUAAUAUUAAAAUUGAUGAUUUAUCAUUUGGCCAAUUUAUUUGUAUUAUGAGAUUUGAGUUUUAUUAGUGCGAAAAAUUUAAGUCGAAUUAUAAUAUUUUAAAGAUUGUGAAUCAAAACAUCACACUGUUCUUGUAAUUGGGGAAUAUAUAAAAAUAUAGUUUAACUUCUAAAAUGUUAACUACUACAAACUAUUAGAUCUGGUGUAUGAUGGGUAUGUAAACACAGGGUGUUGGCAAUAACUGCUGCGCGUGGGUUUCGUUGCGGUUUUGGGGCGCUGUGGGAACAAAAACAAUGACACGUGUAGAGAGAUAAAAUGUGAGAGAGAGAGAGAGAGAGAGAGAGAGUGCGAGGGGCGUGACAUGCAGUGGACGCGGAAUAUUCGAGAAGCAGAUUUCUGCGCGCUGUCGACGAGAUAGUCUUUUCAGUCGGACUGCUCCGACUAUAGUCAGAUAAUUCGCAAAUUAUUCAUAAAUUAUUAAAAAUUUAAAUAAAAAAAAUUAAUUUAUUUUUAAAAAAUAAAAUAAUAUGUAGAUUUUUAGACUAAAUUUAUUAUUUGCGCGUAAUUCGCGUAUGCUGAACUAUAUACCCAAAAAAAUAGGUAAAUUUUUUUAGAUAAAAUUCUUUUCUAAAUUUUGCUGAAUUAUUCUCGAAUUAUUGAAAAAUUUUAUAAAUUUUCGAAAUAUGUGGAUUAUGAAAAAUAUGAAGAUAGAGACGAUAAUAAAAUUUACUAUUUCUUUUUUUAACUUAAUCUAUUUUAUUUUAUAGCUUUUUUUUUAUAUUUUUAAAAAUUUAUAACUAUAUACGCUAGUAGCAUAAAUUUAGAGAAAAAAGGUUAGUUUAAUAGCUGAACUUUUGAUCCCGAAUUGUUAUUUGGUGAAUAUAUAAUAUCCGUAUAAAUCGCGUAUUCGAACAAUUGAUGAAUACGUUUUUUAAACCGUAUUUUUCAACAAAUUUAAAAAUUAAGAUACGAAUUUUAUUUGAAUUAUACCUUUACCAAACUUUUACCAAAUCCAAGUUAAUUAACUAUAAAGAGACGAAGGGAUUUUAUUUUUUAUUUAUUUUUGGAUAAAAAUAUAAUAAUUCAAAAAUCGGCUCGGACAGAAAAAAAAAAAAUUUGAGUCAAGAAUUUAUAAUAAAAUUUCACUACUUCGUUAAGACCUUUUAUGGCUAUACAAUUUAGAUUGAAUAGUAAUUAUUUAAAUAUUUUUUAAAAAAAGUACAAUUUGGACCUUUCCUACUGCUUAAAAGCCUACAAUGAUUCAACCAACUUCAUUAACACAUUCUAUAACCACCUAAUUUUAAAUUGAAUCAUGUAAUAAUUUAAAUAAUUUUUAUAUGGAGAUUUACCUUUUGAAAUAAUAAUAAACCUUACACAAAAGGGGGCUCUUACUAUAAUUUAAAUCCCGGUUACACAAAAAGCUUGCAACAGCUUUAAUCUGCAGUUUAAACUACCCGAACAGAUGAAUAAUUAAUUCAGUACAUAACUUCACUAAAACAAAUUGGCAUAUCACAUAGAUUUUAGUUGUAAAUAUCUUACUAAUAUUGCCAUUGCAAAACUAUAUCAAAACCAAGAUAUAAGAGAUUUUAGUUCUAACCCAAUAGAUGAAUAAUUAAUUCAGUACAUAACUUUACUUAAAACAAAUUGGCAUGUCACAUAGAUUUUAGUUCUAAAUACCGUACUAAUAUUGCCACUGCAAAAAUAUAUCAAAACCAAGAUAUAAGAGAUUUUAGUUCUAACCCAAUAGAUGAAUAAUUAAUUCAGUAACUUCACUAAAACAAAUUGGCAUAUCACAUAGAUUUUAGUUCUAAAUACCUUACUAAUAUUGCCACUGCAAAUAUAUAUCAAAACCAAGAUAUAAGAGAUUUUAGUUCUAAUCCUUAUAUAAUUCAGUACAUAACUUCACUCAAACAAAUUGGCAUAUCACAUAGAUUUUAGUUCUAAAUACCUUAGUAAUAUUGCCACUGCAAAAAUAUAUCAAAACCAAGAUAUAAGAGAUGUCCUUUACUAAUGGCGUCCAAAAAUAGACACUUUCCUAAACAACUUACUUAGACCUCAUUUGAUAUUGUUGUCAUUAUUAUUACUAUUUUUUAACACUAUAUCUAUAUAGUUUUAUGUGUUAAAGGAGAAUUUUUUUUUUUUUUACUAUCAUAAUUGAUUAGCUUAUAAUGCAUCUAGCAAAAUAGUAGAUAACAAAUUAUCUAAAACAAAUUUAAAAAGUACAAAAACUUCAUUUCUAAUUUUCAUUUUCUGUUACCAAGUAAAUACUUAAUGAAGUAAUUACAAGUAAUUUAUUGUUCACUGCUACAUCUUUUAUUAUACAAAAUUCUAUUUAAAAAAAAAUAGAAAACAAACAUGAUAUCAAACAAGACCUUCAUUUACUUUAUUAUUUUGUUAAACUACAUAAAUCUAACAUCACCCAAUAACUCAAUGAAAAUUUUGCAUCCAAAUUCACAUACCAUCCCAAAUAUUUUGACCUAUAUGAAACAGCUUAAAAAUUGCAAAUACAUCCAAUCUCAGUAGUCACAACUAGCAAAAUAAAUAUAUCACAAACACAAUGAAAAAACCUUCUUAAAUAUCCAACUUGCCAAAUUAUAUAUUAUAUCCACUCAAAAAGUUACAAUUAGCAAUUUGAUAAUCUCAAAUACUAUUCAAAAUGAGAGGACUUCCUGUGUAAAAUUAUUUGAGAGAAUUACUAUCAACAAAUCUCACUACCUCACUUCCCCAUCUGCUAUGGAUGAGACCUUGCAGACUCCGGCCGAGGUGGUGAAGGGCACAUCCUUGUAAGAGGCAACCAAGUCAGCGUUUGUACGGAGAUCAGCUUGAACCUUCUCCCAUACUUUGCUCUUCGCAUUUAACACGCUAUCCGGUUCGCCCGAAUAUCCAGGAAAGGUUACGCGCUCCCCUACUACAGCCGACGCCGGCGGUUCGACCAACUCCACCUGAGUUGAAGAUUUUUUAGACAUUCUGUACUAUUAUACAGAGGCAAAGAUGUAUGGAUUAUUUUGAAAACGGACCCCCCAACGCUUUUUUCCGUUUUCUCCUUUUGACCAACAAAUGCUUAACUUUGGGCACUUUAAUUUACUUAUAACCAAAUAGUGAAUUCUAUUGAAGUUAAUGGCACCACGCCCUUUCUAGCUGACCAAGUUGGGAACGGUAGAGCCAUCAACUUUAAGCGAAUUUCCAUUUCAGACGACAGGAAAACUGAAAAUUCAUACCGAGAAAGGGAAAAAUAAUGAUAUGCCAGACAUCCUGAAAUUGUAAUCAAUUGUAGAUCAUCAUGUCAAAAGUUUAAAACGAACUGCAUAAACUUUAUAAUUGUUUCAAUCAGCUUCCUAGCCCCCCCAUUGGGUUAAUUUUACCUAACAAUCUUAAAUAAUAUGAAGGCCAAAUCACUCAAAUACUCCUAACAUUAUACAGGCAUUCAGCAGAAGUCAUUGGGCUUUGAUGCGAUUAAAGAUUGCUAAACAAAAUUAAUAGAAUUUUAGGACAGUUGGUUGGUUGAGACAGUUACAAAGUUCAAGUAAUUUAUUUUAACUUCUUAAAGUUCAGACGAUGAUCUGCAAACAGAGCUAUUGUUCAGACGGUCCAGCAUAUUCUCCCUUCUUACAUCCUAUAGCAGUAAGAACCCCAUAUGGAGUCCAAUAACACAAUGUGUGAUAUCAAAAGAUUCAAAACUAACAGAGAGAUCAAUAUGAUCUAGAUGACGUCUUGCGGUGACAAAUUUCAAUGCUACAGAAUACCAGAAAUACCAGGUAGUUGAAUCACAGCAAAGCUCUAGUGUAAAGUUAAAAUGGAAAAAAGGUUCAUAUGUCAGAAAAAGACAAAAAGCAUAAAAGCUUACUUUGGUAUGGUCAUCAUUUGAUGCAGCUAAAACCAUCGCAUGUGAUUUAAUACCACGCAUAGCCACUGGCUUCAGAUUACAGAGAACACAAACUUUCCGAUUCUGCAAAUUGAGAAAUGGCAAUAAUUAUACAAGAUGAGGGUAAAAAAAAACUAAAAAUGGAGAAAUAAUAUCUCCAUCUAAAAACAUUUUUGCAAGAGAAAAAAAAAAUAAAAAAUCUGCCUCUCUAUUAUUUGCGAAAGGAGGACACUUUUUUUAGCUUUUUACAACUUCAGACUAGAGAUGUCAACGGGUUGGAUUCGGGGCGGAUUUUUAAAAACCCGAACCCGAACCCGAACCCGAACCCAGUGUUUGAAAAGGCGCGAGGCGCAAAAAGGCGCAAGACUCUCCUGGAGCCUAGGCGCGAGGCGUACUGCGAGGCGCGCGCCUCAAAAAGGCGAGGCGCACAGUAAUUUAAUUUGAUAUUCUACAUUAAAAAAACUCCAAAAUAACUAUACAAAACUAAAAUAACCAUAAAAAAGUAAAGAAAACACUUGCAUAUAGGUUCUCAAGUAAAAAAAAAAAUAUUUCGACCUUUAACUUAAAAGUGAUUGUGGUGCCAAUGUUUUCAUUUAGCCUCAAGAAGGAGAAGAGGGCGGUAAAAGGAGAGAGUGGUAGGAGGAGAGGGCGGUAGAUGGAUUUCAUUAGGGUUUUUUUAGGUUUCUUUUAGAUUCUUUUACUAAUCUUAUCGGACUAAAACAUAAAAUUUAUAUCCGAAAUCCAAUAACCCGAAAACUUUAAUCAAAAAUCCAAAAAAUAUUAAAUAUGCCGAGACGCGCGCCUCAGGGCCUAGGCGCGCGCCUCAGCAAUAGGGCCUCGCCUCGCUAUUGCUGAGGUGCGGAGGCCCGCGCCUCGCGCCUAGGCGCUGAGGCGCGCGCCUCAGGCGCGACUUUUCAAACACUACCUGCAAACAGACCCAAACCGAGACCCGAAUCCAAACCCGGAACCCACGGAUUUAAAAAUCCAUAUCCAAACCCGAACCCGACCAAAAAUCAAACCCGAAUCCGAAUCCGAACCCAAAAAUUUGAACCGCGAAACAAUUAUUUUUUUUUCAAUAUUUCAAAAUAUAUUAUAUUAAAUCUAAAUUUUUAAAAUACAAAUUCAAUAUAUAACAUUAAAUAUAUAUAUAUAAUAAUAUAUAUAUAAAUUAUAUAUAUAAUAUAAAUAAUAGUAUAAUAUAUAUAUAUAUAUUAUAUAUAUUAAUAUAUAUAAUAACGAAAAAAUUCGGGUUCGGGUCAGAUUUGGGUCGAGUUCGGAUUCGGAUCGGGUACAGUCAAAAUCCAUAUCCGAAUCCAUAUCCGUCGGGUUUCUAUUUUUGGUAUCCAUAUCCGAAUCCAUAUCCAUAUCCAUAUCCAUCGGAUAUAUCCAUUUCAUUCGGGUUCGGGUUCGGAUAAAAUUUCGGGUAUCCAUACUCAUUGACAUCCCUACUUCAGACCACUUCUCAACUUGGACCAAACUGCUUCUUCAAUGAUAAUUCUGAAUCAUUGAUGCACAGUUUUAAACUACACUAAUAUUAUUGCAUAACUUUGGAACCGUGAAUCGUUGUCCUACAGUAGUGUAGUUCGGUCCUAAAUGUUGAAAACUAGGGGUAUUUUCAAAAAUGGAAAAGUGAUGCUUUUUGUGAAAAUGAACAAAAGUGGACUGUUUUUUGCAAAUAGGUGAAAUAAAAGAGAAACAGGAGCAAACUACAAACCUGCAUCUCUUCAAGGGGAAUGUAUUUGACAAGGCCACUGACCACCGUUCUAGUCGACUCUUCUCCAACAUCAAUUUCUUCGACAUAAAGGGAAUCAGCGUCUGGAUGCUUCUGAGCUUUCUUGAUGCGACCCACACGGAUAUCAAGCCUGGAGAUCGUAACUUCUGCUUCAGCUGCCUUUGUUUUUGUACUACCAGCUGGCUUUGUCUUUUCUUUCUUCGAAUUACCUUCUGUACAAAAUAAAGCUCCAGUGCUAUUUUGUUCUCUUAUAAAAAUAAAAAAAUAAAAAAAAUACGAACAAUAGCAUAAGGAGGACAUUGAGAACACUAUUCAUCUGAAUAUAGUAACUCUUACAGCUGAUUUUCUACCAAGAACUUAAUGUAUUGACUCAGCAAGUAAAUUGUCUUGUCGGUAGCAACAUAUGCAAGAUUAGCUUCAGCUUAACAAUAAGUGCAUAUUCUGCUCAAAUAAACCUCCAAAGCGAGAAGACAAUUAUAAUACACCAAGAAAUUGCCAACUAACAGAAUUUUGGUCUGAUUCACUGAACAGCAAGUGCUUCGUCCAAAUAAUAGAGUUUUCCUUUUGAUUUACAUGGAACCAACCAAACUCCUCCUGGAUCUGUUUCUACAAUACCUAGACAAUCUUAUUAACAACCACAGAGUAAUCCACCUUGAGAGUUAAGAAAACCUCGUUUUUGCACAGCAGUCUGGACUAUUUUACUUUGCCAACCAACUAUACACAACAUUUCUCACCAUGUCUGAUCAGUAAAUACCGAGAGUCCCAGGAGUACAAUUUUGUUAAAUGUAUCAUUCUCUGCUACCAACGAAACCAUCCAUCUAGGAAAGGACCACGAAGACUAACUAUUCUACAAAAGUAUCACGAAAAUGUAAGAUAUUGACCAUCAACUUAACCAAGCUCCACCACUCAACUAGUUAUUUGCAGGGUGGAAGCAUAAAAGAACAAAAAGAGCCAAUACUUAACAAGAAAGGAAAAUAUCUAAACCUGAUAUUUUUGUUGUCUUGAGUUGCUCAGCAACCUUUUUCGCAUCUGCUUCUGCUUUCAAUACCCUCUCAGCUUGACUGCCUGCAAAUUUCUGUCUGAAAAAUUCUACUUCUUCGUCUUUCUGCAUAGAUCAUUUAAAGAGCUAUAUAAUACGAUACAAAAGAGUACAGAGUGGAGAAACACUGAACAAUUAGUUAUGCCUACCAGUUCCUUAAAAAGUGGCUCAGGUUUCCCUAUUCUGUGGCCGGUAGGUAGAAAAUCCCAAGGUCUUUUUGCUUUAUCGAUAUCUCCUUUCUCAUCAGAAAAUGAGAGAUGCUCUUCUGGAGACAAAUUAAGCUGCCUCAUUACCUUGUAUGGCAAUAAAAGAAAAAAAAUAAAGAUCAGAAGACAAACUAGAGGGGAAAAAUUUCAAAAAAAAUGAAUAGUCUAGUUUCAUAAUCUUUAAGGACUAGAGGGAGGGAGGAAAAUAAAAUUGUACAAAUAACUUACUUCAUUAGAGAAGGAAGGCAUGAAAGGCUCUAAUAAACAGGCAAGAAGGUAAACAAGUCCUAAUGAAGUCUUCAUCACAAUGGCACAUGAAGAGGGAUCUUCUUUGUAAAGCUUCCAAAAUUGGCUCUCCUAUACGUAAUAGUCAGAAAAGGAAUGAGAUAAACAGAAUAUACCAAAACAACUGAUAAUCACCAAAAAUAAAGGAUAAAAGAUUCUAAAAAAACUUACUUGCAAAUAUCCAUUACCCUCGCUAGAAAUGCUCAUAGCAAUUUUCAGGCCUUGUUUUAGUUUGACCUGUUAUACAACAGGAACAGUAUAUUUAUAAUGGCAGAAAUUGGUUGACAAUACACUUCUUCCAUCUCUCUACCACCAACGCAUUGAAAGAUUUCCAUGCUAGAAUGUAGACAAAAAUAGAAGAGAAAUUAACUCAGACUACCUUCUCCAUGGCAUCAAGAUACUGAUCGACCAAUUUGCCAACAUUUUCUGCAAGAGUCUUAGUUAAUUGAUGAGACUCCGCAUUAGGAGCAUCAGGAAUAGUUGAAUCAUACCCAGCUCCUGCAGGAAAAAAAGGCAAAAUAUGUAUAAUUCUAAAACAGCUUGACAUUAUAGACAUAUGAUUGCCAUGCUCAAAGAACUAACUCUAAUAGAAAAUAGUGUAGAAAACUGCAGAUUAGAGCACUAAACUAACUAAAUCAAUACAAGCUUGCAGAAUAAGCAAUGGGAUUAGCAUGUCUUAAUGCAUAAUUUCUUAAUAACAAUACAAAAAAGCUCUAAUUCAUGAGCUAAUAGUCAAAUCCAAUAGUUAUAUACCAUUGUAUACACCAUACACUAACCUGCGGGUUUGGCAAUGAAACUCAAUACACGAUUGAUAAAAUUUCCCAAGUUACUAAGCAAUUCACUAUUGAGUUUUGCUUGCAGGUCUGCCCAUGUAAACAGUGUAUCUGACACCUAAUUCACAAAAAGCAGUAAAAAAUAGAGCUUAUAAACCACAAAGAGCUGCAAUACUUGUGCAUACUUGAAAUUCAAAAAAGAAGAAAACGAUCAAACUAACCUCUGGCCUAUUAGUGAGCAAGUAGUAACGCCAUACUUCGGUAGGAAUCUUUGUAUCCUUUGCAUCAUUACCAAAAACUCCAAUACCCUUACUCUUGGAGAACUUUCCUGUAUAUCACAGAAAAUAGAAAAGCAGAUAAUGAAUGUUGACAAGUGAACAUAUCCAACUAGGCAAGGGCCAAAAUUCUCUUUUUUUCUUUUAAAUAUAUUUCAGCAAAAGAAGUUCAGAGUUCCUUUUAAAGCUCUUUGGUUCUAACAUUUGUACAUCCUCUUAAAGCUCUUUGGUUCUAACAUUUGUACAUUUGAAUGAUUGAAUUUGCUCAAAUUAAUGGCUCCCCCUAUUUGUAAACCUGAUUGCACUAAAUCCACCAUUCUCAAGACAACUAAACAGAUCAAAGAAUGUAAUUGGCAGGUAAUAGUACCUGCUUCAUAAUUUAAAUAUUCCGUUACACUUAUUGUCUUCAUCAUUGUCCACUUUUCACCAGUUCCAAGGAGUGUGGAAGGAAACAUAACCUGGGAUAGAUGUUGUGAGCAUCAGAAGGAAACCGAGAAAAAAUAAUUACUCAUCCCUAGUUAUGACUCAUGAAUACACAAACAGCAAAAACAGUACUAAGUGAAACAAUAUCGUACUUUUCAACAAGAACAAAUUAGUUUGGGGCUUCCACGAUUUCAUAACAAAAACAAAAAACCCAAAAUAAAGGGUACCAUUACAUAUAGGAACAGACUGAUUAUGUUAAAGGGCAGAAAAAGAAAAAGUAUUCAAAUUGGGUGACUUUAAAAUUAUACUAAAGAGUCAAGGUGCAGGUUAUCUGGUCAAUCAUGUUGUAGUCAAGUGCCAGUAAAGAACAAUUUUAGUUUGUUCCUGACGUGAGAAUAGUAUUCUUACAGUGCUUAAAAGGCAAUGCAAGAAACAUACACCAUUAACCAAAAUGUGAGAAUGCUAUUCUUACAGUGUGAAAUGGCACAUUAUCUUUGCCCAUGAACUGAUAUAAUUCUACCAUAUCAGGAUUCUUCCACCACUUCUCCCAGUCAGGAGUGUAGCACGCUGUUAUUGAGAUAUACCCAAUUGGGGCAUCAAACCACACAUAAAACACCUGACAAUUAGUACAACAAACAAAAAGGAAAUAAUUAUCACGUGGACAAAAUAUAAGGCAGCAAAUCACAUCUCUAUCUAUAAAUUAACUCUUGCCAAGCUACCAAACCUUAUCUUUAUAUUUCUCAUGAGGAACAGGGACACCCCAUUUAAGAUCCCUUGUAAUACAGCGGGGUUUCAAUCCUUCCUUCAACCAAGCAUUCGUUGCUUGGAUAGCGUUUUGGCUCCAACCCCCAGCCACAGACAUUUCACUGAUAUACUUCUCUAAUUUUUCCCUCAGUAAAGGAAGCUCUAGAAAUAAGUGGUCGGUGUCACGAAUGCGUGGAGUGUUUCGACAAACCUACACACACACACACAGUUGCAAAGAUAAGCGGUAGAAAUAUAGAUGGAAGCAAUUUCACACCAAGCACUCAUUUGGCCAGACUUCUAUGACCACUUCUCUACUCAAAGUAGCUAAAGUUAAGCGUUUCACCAAAAAAAAAAAUGUUCGGAACUUUUGUUGUGGACAAAACUAGUUCAAUCUUUUGGAACUCAAAGCAGGUCCAAUUUGAAGCUUCUGCUUUCAUUGGAAAGGGAAGCUGUUCGAAAGGAUACCAACAAAAAAGCCAUUAGUGCUUCUCUAACAGCUUUUCUGAACAGCACCUCCGAAAAAGCUCCAGAGAGAACAACCAGCACAUUAAUCAUUUAAACGUACUAGGUAUGUACAGGAACUGAAAACUUACUUUGCAUUUGGGAUCAAUCAGUUCAGUAGGAUUCAACAAUUUCCCACAUUUUUCACACUGAUCACCUCUUGCAGACUCGUAAUUACAGCCAGGGGUAGGACAAGUUCCCUCCACAAGCCUGUCAGCUAAGAAGCGUUGGCAUGUGUCACAGUAAAGCUGCAAGAAAUGCGGACACAGAUUAAACAGAAUAAAAAAAUAGCAUUCAUUGAGAAGGAAUUUGUAGGGUCCUCAAUGAAUUGUCUACCAACCAACCUGCUGCAUGGUGUUCUCAGAAAGCCAAUUAUUCCCCAUCAGUUUGUGGAAAAUAGCUUGGCAAACUUCAGUCUGCGCCGGAGAAGAUGUUCGUCCAAACUCAUCAAAGCUUAUGUCAAACCACUUGUAUACCUCCUUGUGAAUGGCAUGGUAUCUACAGGGGGAGAAAAUAUACUGUCAAGUAGCAGAUUACAAGUUCAGCUAGAAAGCCCUAAAGAGAACUCUUCUCAUUUAUAACUUUCUUUUGAAUAUCUUCUAAUUGUUCUCUUCAACUACAUAAGCAUAACGUAUGGGAAUGAAAAUUUUAAUCAACCUAGUAAUAACACGAGUUUCAAGCAGCAUACUGGACAAAAGGGAAAGGUUGUAAUGUUGCAAAAUGCAAAAUAAUCUUUAUAUAGAACACUAUCCUAAUAAUGAUAUUAGGGGAUCUUACAAAGAUAUCCAACAUAAUAUCUGUCAAGCUAGCAUUCUGCAAAAACAGCAAAAUUCACCUCAUUUUCACAACUUUCUAUAUAAUGUAAAACAAGAGUGAGAAUAAAUAAGAGAAGAGAGAGAGCAGGGUUUGGUCGUGGGUAGAGAGCAGAGAGAGGACAUUGCUCCCAAUGGGAAGGAGGUGAUAAGGAGAUAAUUUUUUGAUAACAGUGUGUGUGCAUGCAUGCUUGAGAGAGAGAGAGAGAGAGAGAGAGAGAGAGAGAGAGAUAAAGUUGGCCAUAAACCUAAGGAAUUGCUAUUUUGAAGUUUCAGUGGCAACUGAGUUUUCUGAAGAAACAAAACGCGAGUAUCAUUUUCCUCCCUUCUUCAUUCAUCUAUUUCUUUGCUUCCACUUCUAGGUUGCCCACUUGCACUUGCCAUACUCCAACAUUUAGUUGCAACUCCAGAACAAAAAUUAUAAUAUAUUGCCUUUGGUUGGAGCUAUCCAAACUAGGUUUUUCUGCCAAGAAAAACUGAAAAAAUUUGGGUUCAAUUAAAAAGGGUUUAAAUAAGGCUUAACCCAAAUUAACUGAAACUAACUUAUCAGUCUUAUCAAUGGACCUUCAAUAAUUUUUGGGAAAACUUCAAACACCACCCCUAUGGUUUCACACUUUCUCACUUUAGUACCCUGCGGUUUAAAGUGUAGCAAUUUAGUUCCAUGUGGUUUCAUUUUUAUCUUUUUAUUAUGGAUUUCACUAAUUUUUUUCAUUAAAUUAGUGACAAAGAUAAAACUAAAGGGUACUAAAGUGAAUAUUCAAUAAACCUAGGUGGGGUAUCUGAAGUUUUUUGUAUAUAAUUUAACGAAAUAUUAAUGGAAAAGCUGACAAAAAAAUAAAAAUGAAACCACAGGACACUAACUUGAUACACUUUAAACCACAGGGUAGUAAAGUGAGAAAGUGCGAAACCACAGGGGUGGUAUUUGAAGUUUACCCAUAAUUUUUUCUAUCAUAUUCAAUCAUGAAAAUAACAAAAGCACCAUUUUACUAUACAAGACACAAAGUUCUAUUGAAUUAUACUACUAUCAUAUAUUCUUGUCAUGAUUAGCAGCAGAGAAGUUGAGGACAGGAGGGUUGAGAAGGGGCGGAGAAGAGGAUUAAGAAGUUGAGAAGACGAGCAAGAGAUGGGUGGUGGAGAUGAGAAUUGCAAAAAAGAAUCUCGGAUGAGCUGGACACUUCCCAGACAUGGUGAUUGGAUUAAAGGCCUUAAAAGUUUAAAAAUAACCAAAUAUUUGAAAGUGCAGUAGCCGUUACAGUGUUUUGGAAGAACAAGGAUGAUUGCGUCAUUUCACAACCUAGUAAUUGUUAGCAUUUUCUCCUAGAUAAACUAAAGUAAACACAAAUGGCAUACACGUAGAUUGAAGUUUAGAGGGGUAGAAUUGAGAACUAAAAUGGUUGAGGGGAAAAUGCGCAAUUUCACUACUCUUAGCAGGGAGAUGCAGACAAUUUUCAUUUACUUUUAAAACUGUAGAAGGGAACUUUCUCUUAAAACUUUAGCCAGUCCACUCUAAAAACCUACAUUAAUGCUUUACCAACUUCCCUACUCUAAUCUUUUAAACAUAAUUCAAUUACACCCCAGAUCUUACAAGUGCUAUCUUUCAACCAAACACACUGUUAUUGAGGCAAAAGAAAAAGUACAGAGGGAAGACCAAAGUAUGAAACUUAACAUAGAUACCAUGAGUAUGAAUCCCAAUAAAAUGACACUUUCUUAUCUGCAAAUUUCAGUUUUAAUGCUUAAUUUAAUGCCAUGGCAAGCAUACGCUGAUCAAAAUAUCGAUCAUGGUUGCCAUCCAACACUGUAAAGAUUGGCAAAAGAAGUGAAAAACAUCAAUUUCGGCCUCUUUUGGCAUUGUUUCUGGUCAUUUUUCCUCGUUAAAUGCAAGCUCAACAUGAUUGGAUCCAACAGAAUAUGACUUUCUCCAUUCUUGCUACUGGUAUACUUGUGAAGCACCCCACCAGAUGCAGAACGGCGUCAUCUUCACAAAAACAAGGUGAAAAAGAUGUUGGUUCUAGAUUUUUGUUUCUCAUUACCAACAAACUCUAUAGAUGUAUAGAUAACAAGUUAUCUGACAUCCACCAGCGCACUCCAAUCGAUAGAAUUUAUAUUUAUACAAAAAAGCAGACAUAUUAUUAAAAAAAUGAAAAGCAUAAGAGAAUUAUAACAGAGGAAUCAAGAUACUAACUUAUCACAUAUCUCCUUGGGAGAGCAAUUCUCCUCCAUGGCCUUUGUCUCGGUUGCCGUCCCGUACUCAUCCGUUCCGCAUAUAUAUAUUGCAUUAUACCCUCGGAGCCGGCAGUACCGCGCAAACACAUCCGCGCUCAGAACACCUGCACCAAAGCAAACCGCUCUUAUUUGAAUCAACUAAGGUUUCGUUUGAGAUUGCGGGGAGAUUGUGUUACGUGUGGUGAGAAAGUACGAUGAGAAAUACUCUGUUUGUUUCCGUACAUAAUAUUGCGCUCCGCAUAUCGCGAUGAGUCGGCUACGAUAUAUUUUCUACGAUCCCACUAGAGAAUGCAAAAGUAUAUCCAUAUACUUUAACCUCAACUCCAUUUUAUCUAAUAGCGUAAGACGGGACUCAAUACCAAACUAAGCCUAAUACACACAAAAAAAUAAAAUAGAAUAAAAUAAAUGUAUGGAACUUAUCUAAACUAUGACCCUUCUUGAUUCGACAGGCUAACAUCAUUUCAAUAAUUUAUCGUAUAUUUUAUAUUUGAAAUGGCGAGCUUUCAUCAACCAACCAUGCCACUACCACGAUUCUAACCCAUUGUACGGUAAUAUGCCUACUAGCUGGGAAUCUACAAUAAUUCGGCGAUUUCACCGACACAUCUUUCAAUUUUUCAACUACGUCUCGAAUAAAAAAUACGUAGGAUUUCCGAAAUAUUACAAUUGAUGCAUCAUUUACUUCAACAAAAUUAAUAAGAGUAUCUUAGAUGAUAACAUUUUCAUGUAAAAUCAAAUUUUUUACAGAUUAAACAGUCGGAUCAAAAUUGACCAUAAUUUGGAUAAGUCCCGUUACCCUACAUCUCCGCCCAAAAAAUACAAACACAAUCGGAAAACAAAAAAGAGGAAAAUGGGGGAUUGAUUACAUCCGAUGAUGUUGCCGAGGUGGGGGACGUUGUUGACGUAGGGGAGGGCGCUCGUGAUGAGGACGUUGCGGCGCCCCGCCACGGGGAGCGUCGGCGGCGUCGCCUUCGUCGUCGUCGUCGCCGUCGCCGUCGCGGAGUCCCCCAUCUCUCUCCCUCUCUCUCUCUCUCUCUCUCGAUCGAUCGAGCGCUCUCGUGUAGAAAUGGAGCGUGCGGCUGAGGUCCGGAAGAGAGCGGGGAUUUCACCAGCGUUUUCUUUCUUAAACCCUAACAACAGUACUUAGAUUUGGGUAAAAUUGCAUUUCCAGUCCCUCAACUUUUGUUAAACCUUUGUUAAAACCACACAAAAUAGUUUUCUCAUAAAGAAAAAGAAAAAAAAAAAAGUAUUUUUCAAUUCUGUUGGGAUUACAGAAAUAAUAUGCUACGUGCAAUGAGAAAGCAUAGUAAAAAAAAUAAAAAAUUCUCCCACGUAAUUUGCAAUGAUUUUAUCCGAGAGAUCUUAAAAGAUCAAUUUUUUUCUCAUAAAAUUAUUUGUAAAAUGAGAUUUCUCUUGUAUUUUUCUACGUAAUUUCUCAUCAUAUUAUUAUCAUACAACUUCAUGAAAAUAAAAUCCCUCUCAAGCAUUUAUCUGAUGAGUUCAUUUUCAUGAAGUUCAACAUUUCGUCCCAAAACUUUUCAAAUUGUUUCACACAACUCCUUAUGAGAAAAUUUUUAAUUUAAUAUUUGUAUACUAUGAGUUAAUUGAUUCUGUAUCCAUCUCAUAUCUACUAUCUUGAUGCUCAAGUUUUAAACAUAUCAAAGAUUGUGACUCAAUGAAUAUGAUGAUGAAAGAUCACAAUAUGAUAUCUGAUCAUAUCUAAUAUAGGUGGCUAAAAAAUUAAUCGUUGAAUUUUAAGGUUCCAAUUUCAAACCCUAAUUUUUGCACAUUUUUGGCUGAGUUCAUUUCUAAAAAAAUUGAAAUGUAUAAAUGUACGUGAUUUAGACAAUAACUUAAUGACAAAAAUCUCCGAACUAUCCACUCAAACUUACAUCAAUUAGCUUCCUAUACUUUAACACUUUUUUAAGAAAGUGCAAAAAUUUGGAUAAUGAGUGAGUUAGAGUACAAAAGUUCACUAUAAAAAGUUGAUAUGUCUGUCACAUAGUUCAACAUCUAUCUAUUUUGCAAAUUAAAUACAAAUAGUAAAUUACAUAAGCGGGAUCGUCUAUUUUGUUAGUACAAUCAAAGUUGAUAGUUUAUUGAGCAAAGUUAUGAAAUUUUUAUGAUUAUAUUGCUAAUUGUAGCUAAUUUUAUCAGCCAAUUUGCUUUCCAAAGUUUUAUAAUCAAAUUCAACAAUUAUCCUAUUUUGGAAUUGUUUGAAAUAAUGACAAAAUGUGUAAAGUAAUUACCGUGAUUUUUAAUGCAGAGGGUAAUUGAGAUAUGAAAUGUGCAUGAAGGUUUUUUUUGUAAUUUGGCAAAAAAAAAAAACACUAAUGUCCAUACUACUAUAAUUCAAUCACUUUGGAAAAAAUAAAAUAAAAUAGAAUGAAUAUUAUAAGCUAAGAGCUGCAAAUCUACAUCAGCUUCCAUAGUCAUAUAGAACUCCUCUAUCAGCACACUUUUAGCCUUUGCUUUCUCCGAUCAAAUUAAAUAAUUUUCUUUUAAAAAGAAAGGGUUAUCAUACUUUUAAUUCAUUAGUGAAAGGCUUAAAUGGGUUAGCAUUCUAUUGUCUGCGACCACGAAUGACGCAUCUCGCACGGUUUAUCUUAUUUUAAUUUUCCGUGGGGUAUUAUUCAUGAUUCAGAUUAAUAUUUGAUAUAUAUAUGGGUAUCAAGUAUUGUGGAUUUAUGGCUUCCAAUAAAUGCAAGCAUUCAUUGUUAAUUACCCCUAUAAAAUAUUAGGGUACCUUCGAUUAAGAGACCUCUGAAAUACUUAAGGAGAAAUAAACUGGAAUUGAACAAAAAAGAUUUUAUAAUAUAGUUUAUCAUUCAAUUAUAUGGCUUUAACCAAGGGCAAACCCUCAGUGUACAUAAACAAAGCAUAAAAAAAAAAAGUGCUUAAUUUUAUGAUAUGAUGGUCAACUGAACUUAAUUUUGACUGCACCUUGGUUAUAUAUUCCAAGAUGCUCAAAGUAUAUGAUCAAAUUGAUUUUGUUGGGCCCUAUAUGUUUUGGAGCUCAACAUUGUUCACCCUAAGAUGAAGGAUUGAUUAAAUUCCAUGUAUAUGCAUUGGGACUUAAUCGGGUUUGAUUCAAAUUAAACUCUAAUUAGAUGCAUUAGAGUUUGAUUUGGUUAAUUGAACUUUAAUUGUAUGUGAUAAAGUCCAAUAGAAUUUGAUUUGAUAUUCAAUUUAAGCUUUCAUCCUAAAUGUAUGUGUUAGGAUUAGCCCAAAUAUUUUGAAUUAGACUCUAAUUUUAUAUCUUAGAGUCUAGUGUAAUUAGGCUCUAAGCUUAUGUGUUAGAGCUUAAUCAUAUUUACUUUGGGUUCACCAUAAGGUGAAAUGUUAACUAAAUCCUAAUUAUAUAUAUUAGGAUUAGUCAAAUUUAAUUUAAAUUAAACUCUAAGUAUAUGUAUUAGAGUCUAACUUAGCUUCAUUUAUUUGAACUCCAAGUAGAUGUAUUAGAGUCCAAUAAAUUUAAUUUGAUUAGGUGAAACCUAAUCUAUUAUUUUUUACCUUAGUCACAUAUACUAAGAUAAAUAGAUGGUUUGAUCAAUUAUAAACAAAUAUUUUAGAAUCCGAUUUAUUAUGAAUGUGGUAGCAAAUAUGACUCUAGUUUAAUGUGCUAGAGAAUUGGGUUAAGAAGAUUUGUCCUUAACAAAUUGGUAAGGCUUGGUUUCAUAUCCAUGUAGUUUAGAGUGUGAGUUUGAACUAUGGUUCUUUAAGUCUCAUGAAGAUCUAAAUUGGCCUUGAUCUAGUUUGGGCACACUCUUUUUUUUUGGGUUAGGUUUGUAUUCAAACCUGAGCCUGGGCUCAGAGUGGGUUCAUAUAAUUCAAGUUAAGGUUUAAUUUUGCUGUGGGCUCAGGCAUGGACUAAAUUUAGGAUUCGGGCAUGGGCUAAAUUCAGGCCCAUGUAGUAUGGAUUCAGGUUGAGUCGUGAAUGUGGGCUCGGGCUCAAUUUAGGCCCGUAUGGGUUAAGUCCAUGUUUUCUUUAGGCAAGCCAUAGAAUUGGGCCCAGAUUUAUGUUUGGGCUGAACCUGAGUUAUGCUGAGCUUGAGUUAUGUGAUUUGAGGUGAGUACGGGCUUGGUCCAUACGAGACUUUGAAAUGGUUAGUUUGAAAUUAUUUGGGAUUUGUUUGAGAUCAAAAUGUUAACCUAAUUCAUAAUCAAAUUCAAUGCUUAAAAUUUCACAUGCACUUUUUUAAUUUUCAAAUUCUCAGUCAUUAAUAAUGAAAAUUCAACUUAAUUUAAUUUGGAGCAUAGAAUGUCCAAUGCGAUUAAAUCUCGAUUUGUUCUAAUUUGGCCAAAUCGAGAGGUUCGAUUUUGGAUGGAAUUAAGGGGUUCGAUUAUUUUUCGAACAUCCCGUUGUUCUUCUAAUAAAAAGAUGAUCAAAAGAAUAACAAUCAACAAUCCGAUUGAUUUCUUUUGCCUCUUAAUUAUGAGAGAAUUAAGAGAGUAUUUUUCUCUCUUUAUCUCCUUUGAAGGUACAAGACAAUAAAGAUGGAUAAUGCUUCUUUGCCUCUCUAAGUAGAAAAACUCUCUCUCUCUUUUGAUGAUAUUUUUUUUACGAAGAGAAGAGCACCCGCUCUCUCUCUUUUGAUAACACACAUUUUUUUUAAAAAGAAAAGAGCACCGCUCUCUCCCUCUUUUAAUGACAUAUUUUUACAAAGAGAAGAGCACCGCUCUCUCUCUAUACGCAGGUUAAGUUCGCCGUCGAAAAAAAAAUACAUCUUGGGCAUUUCAUCGAACAGUUGGUAGGCGUGGUGCGUUGCGCAACUCCAAUUGCGUUGGAAUCGCAACAGAGAGUUGGAAGUUGCGGCUAUGAUAGAGUCGGUGCAGUGGCAAGGUCGAAGGUGAAGAAAUCGACGAGGUCGUCGGGCGUCAACUCGGGAUGGACGCCGACGUUCCGCAGCAUCCGCAGCAGGUACUCUAACAGCACCACUUCACGCACGAUGAUCACCGCCGACGACAUCCCCUCUCCUCCGUCCGAGCGCUUGAUAAGGACGCGGAAGAGUGGGUGGUCAAUGAGGUCGGAGCUGACCAGGUACCGGCGUCGGGACUUGUCGACAUAGAUUGGGUGCAGCCCGCGCGGCACGACGUCCAAAUGCUCGUCGACGGCGCUGUCGGCUUCGAAUUUUGGCUCCUCCAACCGCUGCUGCCACAUGUUGUCAUCUUCGUUGUGGGGAAUCAAGAAUCCGUAGGCGAUGAGCGAGAUGCAACGGCUGCUGCCGGAGGGGGAGUAGACUUAUAGAAGCCUCUUUUUAAAGAAGCGCUGCUCGUUGCAGACACAGAUCGAACACCUGGUGAGCGGUGACGAGGUUGGCCAUGACGGAGACGAGGCCGGUGUCGAGGGCGCCCCGUAGAAGGCCAACCGCAGCAACGCGAAGAGCCUGGCGGACAUGGCGAACAGCGCUUUUAUUUUAUACACCAUAUUCCUAUUCAAAGUUGGAUUCAAAUUUUCUCUCAUUCUUUCUCUUUUUUUUUUCUUUUUUUUUGUGCUUUAACAUCUAUCUUGUGGUGAGAGGCCAUGUUAGACUGAGUCAUAUUCGAAAUGGCGUAAAUUUGGGUUGGGACAUGUCAUAUUCGAAGUGGCGUGAGGUUAAUUAGAUCAAGUGAUAAUCGAGAUGGUGAACGCUGUGUUUGUACGCUUUAAGUGAAUUGGUUACAUAUUUUUAAUAGCUCGAACUUUUGAUAUUAAUUGUUAACACUAAGAAUUCGAUAAAUAGUAUUGGAGCCUGGAGUCACGAGUUCGAUUCUCGCAUACUGCAAAUUUGUGUGGGUACAAGAAGAGAGAUUGUUGGCUUAAAUGAACCAACAUUCUGCCUUUGUUGUGGGAGAUCAUGUUGGGUGAGUCGUGUUUGAAAUGGCGUAAAGUUGAUUGGGCCAGAGUGAUAAUCGAGACCUAUGAACGCUGUGUCCAUAUGCUUUAAGUGAAUUAGUUCCACAUUUCUAACAGUUCGACCUUUUGGGAUUAACGGUUAGUACCAGCGAUCCAACAAAUGCAUCGAGGGAUGAACCACACUUAUUUUUUAUUUUUUUAAAAAAAAACUAGAUGUGCCAAUUGAACAAUGACAAACUAAAAUAACAAAUAUACAUGUGAUAAGAACUGCACAUUCUAUACAUGUUGCAAAUAAAAAGAUCACAUCUUACUCAUUCGGAUACUAAUUGAGAUGAUCUUUCAUUUCGCAUACUCAAUUUGAUAAGAAAUAAGAGACUUCUUUAGUCCAAGAAGCAAAGCAAUUCACUACCUAAAUUGUUAGCAAGAGAUUUUCGAACAUUUUAAUGUCAUUUAGGGCUUCAAAUCUGGGGUCAAUUUUAGAGUUUUCUUGCAUAGAAACGUUAAAUGUAAUUUCUUUUUAAAAAAAUCUAAGUAAUUUGAUUUUGAGCCUAUAGUUGAAAUUGAUGUGUUUGAGAUGCUUAAUUUAGAUAUCAUGUAAUUAGAAUAAAUUUAUAUGAAAAGUAAAGUUCGAAUUUAAGUGCCGUGGCACGGAGUUGUGCCGGAAACUUGCCGGCAUGGUAAGCACGGUGUGUGCUGAGUCGUGCCGAUGCAUGCCGGUCAAAAAAAUUCUUAUGUGUCGACACAUAAUAGUAUGAAAUAUUUUUUUUCUUUAGCAACAAAAUAUUAUAACUAUUUAUUAUGCCUUUUUAUCACAUCUUUUGAACUUUAUUGAGAAAAUUACUUACUAAUUUAAAAAAUAUAGAGUUUUGAGCUGCGCCAUUGGUACAGAGUCUGUAUCGUGCCUGUAUCUUAUUGGCACCGUACGACACGGUGGAUACGGCCAGUGCCGACGAGCACUUAAAACCUCGGUUCCAAGUUUAUUAAAAUGAAAAAUUAUUCUUUAUGUCAAAGAGUCUUUAUUGGUGCGCUAACUAUUCCAUGAACAUCUCAUUUCUCCUAUUUUUGCUGCAGUAGUAAAGUCAUAAACUCAUAAUAGAGAAAUGAAAAUUUAACGCUGGCAACAUGCUUAACACAUGUAAGUCGUACGGCACGCGGUGUUUCCCGUGGCAGACGGGUGAGUAAUGCGUAAGAACCUGCCCUUGGGAGGGGACAACAACUAGAAACGGUUGCCAAGGAACUCAGCAAAAUAGUCCUGUAACUUUCACCCCAACAUUUAUAAAACUUUUUCAGUUAUACAUUCAAAAAAGUGUGUAUAUCUAAUACCUUUCAUCCCAACAUUUUUAAAACUUUUUUAAAUUUUUUAUAUUCAAAAAAACUUCAAUUUGUAUCCAUGUAUUUAGUGUAUUUUCAGUUUGGCACUUAAUAGUUAGAAGCAUUUCAAUUUGUCAUUCUGUGACUUUAUUUUUAUCUCACUGUUAAAAUAUGCCAUUAAGUAGGAUACUUAAGUAAUAAAUUUAUAAACUACAGAAUAAUAAAUUAAUAUAUUUUCAAGCCACAGGGUGACACAUUGUAGCAUUUUCUACAAUGUAUCACCUUGUAGUUUGUAAAAUAUAACAAUCUAGUACUCUACCUAAUGACAGGCCUUAACAGUUAGAUAAAAGUAACCGAUCGUCCCUAGAGCAAGUGGUAAAGGGCUUGAUGGUUGGCAUCCGAGACCCAAGUUCGAAUCCUAGUUGAUUCACAUUUUCUGCUAAGUUUAUUUCUAAAUGAAAUAAACGAAACGGGUAGCAUGCUACCUAUCUCUCUCAAAAAAAAAAACAAACAAACAAGCAGUUAGAUAAAAGUAAAACCACUGUAUAACAAAGUCAAACACUUCAAAUCACAAAAUACCAAAUUAAAAAUGUGCUAAAUCAUAAGAAGGCAAAUUAAAAUUUUCCUCCCAGAAAAAAAAAACAAGACAAUUAGAGCAAUAUGGGUACUUGGAUGAAAGGGUGCAAAAUUUACUUCUUUUUAGGAUGUACAAUUAGCAUUACUAUCGAAAAAUACAUAAAAUCCAAUCUAUAUAUAAAAAGAUAAAUGUUACUGUACACUCCAACGGAUAGUGUCAAGUGAUUAAUGAUUGACUCUCAUCUAUUAGAUAGAUAGAGCAUAAAACUAGAUUUUCACCCGUGCGAUGCACGGCUAAUAUAAUAAUAUAGAAUAAUAAAAAUUAUUAUGUGAUGAUAACAAAAAGAUUUUCUAAUUAAUUUUAUAUUUUUUAACAAAUAAAAAAAUAUAUUAUCAAUCUUAAUUAUAGUACAUAUUAAAGUACACAAGCUAGAGAAAAAAAAAUUUGGACCAAAGUAAAUAUUUAACUAAAAUGCAAAAUUCAAUCAUACUCUAUUAUCUAUGAAUUGGUGUGCAAAAUAAUUUACAUUUACAUAUUGAUGUGCAAAAUAAAAUGAUAACUAAAAUUGAUAUGAAAAAUUACAAAUGACAUUAAUAUUUAAGCAUAUAAUGAGAUCAACUAAACUUUCAUAUUUGACACAAAUUAGAGUAAGCACACAUAUAUUAUGUUCCUACUGUCACUUUUAAGAUUCAAAAAUAUAUAGAUGUUGGUUUUCAAGAAAAUAUAAAGAAAAAAAACUUUGUUGCAUGAAGAUGAAAAGUUACAGGAGUGACAGUAGGGAAAAAAAUUACGAAAUGAAAAUUACAGAAGUGACAGUAGGGAAAUAAUAUGUUCUAUUUUAAAGCAUCAAUAUUUAAGAGCGAAGGAAAUUACAGGAGUGAUGUGAGUUUUAAAUUUUUGCAUCUUUCCAAAAAUGCCUCUAUCCUUUUUUACUAAUAUUUUUAUGUCCAGAAAUUUUCAACUAAUCAUUUCAAAUAAUUAACUAAGUAAUAAUUUAUUCCCAAAUAAAGAUAAAUAUUUUCUUUCUCACACGUAAUAUCCGCACCACCAAUUCUUUCGCAACAUAAUAUCCAUAAAUUUCUCAAAUAUCUCAACAUAAUUAUAGGUGACUUUGAAAUAAAUUUUUUUUAAAUAAUAUAGUAAAAUAUAUUAAUUUUUUAUAAAAGCGUGAGUUUUGAAUUUUUUCUCUUUCCAAAAAUGUCACUAUCCUUUUUUACUAAUAUUUUUAUGUCCAGAAAUUUUUAACCAAUCAUUUCAAAUAAUUAACUAAGUAGUAAUUUAUUUUCAAAUAAAGAUAAAUAUUUUUUCCUCACGCAUAAUAUCUGCACCGGCCAAUUUUUUUGUCACAUAAUAUCCGUGAAUUUUUAAAAUAUCUCGACAUAAUUAUAUGUGACUUUGAAAUAAAAUCUCCUUUAUUAUAGGUGAUUUUUAAUAAUAUAGUAAAAGAUAUUAUUUCCUUUAAAAAAUUAAUUUUAUUUUUUCUAAAGUAGAAAAUCUGUAUUUGAGUUUGACACGUAGAUUUUCUAUAUAGUAAAAGAUAUUAUUUUCUUAAAAAAAUCUAAUUUUAUUUUCUCUUUGUAUAAAAUUUCAUUCAUUAUAGGUGAUUUUUAAUAAUAUAGUAAAAGAUAUUAUUUUCUUAAAAAAUCUAAUUUUGUUUUUCAUAAAGUAUUAUUUCCUUAAAAAAAAGUCUAAUUUUAUUUUUCCUAAAGUAUUAUUUCCUUAAAAAUCUAAUUUUAUUUUUCCUAAAGUAAAAUAUUUUAGAAAAAAUCUAUUUUUUUUUCUAAAAUAAAAAAUUUAUAUUUGAGCUUAACACGUGGCAAACAUAUAGAGCGCCACGUGUCAGCUUUUCAUAUAGGGUUCAUUAAGGAUUCUACUUUAGUAUAUAGUAAUAAUAAUAGAUAUACACCCACUUUUGAAUGUGUGAAUAGCACCACUGUUAUAAAAAUAAACAACUAUAUAAAAAUUAGGUAAUAACAAAAAAAAAAUCCUUGUUCUCAGUUACAAGUAUAAAAAGGCGCAUUUUGAUUUUCAGACUCAGUACAGAUGACUAAUUUUUGAAAUUGAUAGCAAACACAUUCCACCAAUUUUUCCUUCUCAUUUUGAGGUAAAUGCAUAAAAACAAAAAAAAAAAAGUAAACUUCAAAUAACACCCCUAUGGUUUCAUAUUUUUUCACUUUAGUAUCUUGUGCUUUAAAUUGUGGUUUUAUUUUUAUCUUUUCGUUAGCUUUUCGUUAAUAUUUUGUUAAAUUAUAUACAAAAAUUUUAGAUACUUUAACUAUAUUUAUCAAAUAUUCACUUUAGUAUUUUUUAAUUUUAACUUUGUUACUGAUUUAACGAAAAAAAUUAGUGAAAUCGAUAAUAAAAAGAUAAAUAAAACUACAGGAUACUAAAUUGAUACACUUUAAGUCAUAUAAUACUAAAGUGAGAAAAUAUAAAACCAUAGGGCCACUGGUAUUUGAAAUUUUCCCUAAAGAAAAAAAAAAAACUUGCGGCUCAUGAGUUAGUCCUACUAGGUCAAGCUCAACUUGGUUAGAAGUUAGAACUCACGGUAGCGUCUCAUAGUAGACAAAAAUAUCCCCCAACCCAAGGGUUUUUUUUUAUAAAAUGACCCUUCAAAAAUUUUAAAUUGGCAAAAUAACCCUAUUAAGAUUUUAUUUGGAAAACUAACCCUCCUUUCGCCACAUUGGAUUUUUGCUAUAAGGGCGCUGGAUGAUUCACCGCCUUUAUAGGUGAAUUAUUCACCGUUUAGCUUCAGGACUUUGACAAAUUUUCAUAAAUUUUGGGUAUUUUGCACUAAAGGUGGUGAAUCAUUCACCGCCUUCAUUAUUAUAUAUAUGUGAAGGUGGUGAAUGAUUCAUCGUAUUUAUAGUAAAAAUCUGACGUGGCGCCUACAUGACGAAAGGAGAGUUAUUUUUUCAAAUAAAAUUUUGACAGAAUUACAUCUCCAAUUUUAUAAUUUUGGAGGGUUAUUUUAUAAAAAAAGCCCCCAACCCAACCCCCCGUAAAAAAAAAAAAAAUCAAAAAAUCAAAAAAUCGAAGGAUUCCCAACCAGGCGCGUCGAUGCAAGCCCACCCGCACGCCUGGGCCGCCCCUGCGGGCAGCGCCGUCGCCGGCGCCGGCGGCACGCCGGGGACUUCCAGCUACCACCAGCCGACAACCCUGGAAGAGGUCCGAACCCUCUGGAUCGGCGACCUCCAGUACUGGGUCGACGAGAGCUACCUCCACGGCUGCUUCGCCCACACCGGAGAGGUACCUAGGGUUUCUACCAACGAAAAAUUUUAGCUACUGUUCUAGGGUUUUAGGAUUCUGUGAUUACAGUAGCAGAAGCGGAAGCGAAGAGAGAACAAAAUGGAUUUUGUGAUUGGACAGAUUCCUACACUCUGUUCGGUGCAAAAUCGCGAUCAAGUUGAGUUGUCUUUGCAAUUUUGCGAAUUCAAGUGAAUUGAAUUUGGGCCUGACUUUUUUCGCAUGGACGGAGUGUUACUUAAAUCAUUCGAAAUCUUGGUAAAUCAAGUCAAAUCGUAUUCAAUAAUGUUUCCAACCACAGGAUUAGUGUUGCCACGAAGAACUUCUUUAAUAUGUUUUCCUGCUUCUCCUUGUGAUUAAUCUGAGAUUCUGAGUUUUCUUCCUCAUUUGAGAUUACCCUAUCCCAAAAAUUCUGUAAUUAUUGUGUUGCUGAGUAAGGAUAAAAGCUUCAAAUUUGUUAGUGUUUUUUGGUUAUGUCAUUUUAUGCCUUGAUUUUUUUGCUGUUCGAACUUUCAAGUGAACUAACUUUUCUAUUUUUUAACCUAAAGAGGGAUGUAUCAAUGUCCAUUUAACUGUUUAGGCUUUUAAUUUUCCUUUUCUUUCUUUCUUUAUUAUUUUUUUAUAUUUUAGUAUAACUUGCAGAAAUGACUAAUGUCCCAAAUCAUAUCUAUGAGAUCAUGUCGUCCAGUGCUUGUUCGGUUCGGGGCUGUCUAGUGACCUACAUGGUAUACAGUAUAAUUGUUUAUACAGUUAAACAAGUGAUAAUAAACAUUACAGGGUUGGCUACUGUUAGUAACCACCAAUAAAUAACUACAGCCUUGUGUCAACUUCAAGUUCUUACGAAACCUGCAUGCAACUUACACUGCCAGUGUCGUCCCUUAUUCCCUUGCUAUCGUCAGUGAAAAAUGGACAUCAUUAACACCAUCAAGGAUUUAAGUGCCGUGGGAUAGGAUUGUGCCGAACACUUACUGGUAUGGUACGACACUGUUGGGGCCGUGCCAUGCUGUGCCGAUGUGUGCCAGAUGCAAGAAAAUAUUUGUGUGUUGGCAUACAUUGGCAUGAAAUAUUUAUUUUCUUUGGUACUGGUAUACUCUAAUUGCUGAUAAUAUAUCUUUAUUGAAUCUUUUGCACUUUAUUGAAAUAACUACUUGUUAAUUUCAAAGAAGAGGGUUUGAGUAGUGCUAUGCUAUAUGCACAUGGGUCACAUCGUGCCGAUAUUUUGUUGGAAUGGUAGGCAUGGUGGGCACGGCCUGUGCCGAUGGGUACUUAAAUCCUUGAACACUGUCACCGUUAAUAUCAGCGCUGUCACCUGCAGCCCCUUUUGGCAGACGAAAUUCACCUCUGCUUUGACUGCAUAUGGUGUAUAGAGCCCAUCGCCACUGCUAGCUGCCAAUACCAGAGUUUGGUCAUACAAGAUGUCCCAAACAAAGUUUAUCUUAAUAUUUUGACGAUUUUCUGUUAUCUGUAACCAAACACCUUUGAAAAGUAAACAACUAUUAGCCCAAUAUUUUUACUGUGAAAUAUUACCUGGCAAAUAUUUAACUCGCAUAAACCUGUAUAAAUGUGCCUUUAAAGUAAAACAAAAGUGCAUCCUAAUGCAAGAAUCUCCUACUAAUGAACGGUUUUGGGAGUGGAAUGUGUGUACAGCCUUAUUACUGUAAUUAUAACGGAUAUUGUGUGGUUAUCUAUUUGUUGUUUUGUAAGGAAAAAAGAGAAUUUACAUUAAUACCUUCCCACUGUUUAUUAUGCUUUUUUUGUUUGUAGUUUCAAACCUUAUCCUGUUGAAGAGUUUGUGACACUACGUCUGACCUCAGAAGUAAAAAUUUUCAUGUCUUCCUUUUGCAUGCCAUGCUUGUAGAACUUCUUUUACAAUGCAUACCUUGGCUGCACCUUUAUAUGCAAGUGCAACCAUUGAGAUUAACCUUGUAAUUUCUUUCAUACACAGGUAGUGUCAGUAAAGAUCAUUCGUAACAAGAUAACGGGGCUUCCGGAAGGCUAUGGCUUUAUAGAAUUUGUCUCUCAUGAAGCUGCAGAAAGAAUUUUGCAGACAUAUAAUGGGCUACAGAUGCCUGGAACAGAGCAGACUUUUAGGCUGAAUUGGGCCUCUUUUGGUAUGGGCGAAAGACGUGGUGAUCCUGCGGCUGAUCAUUCUAUUUUUGUAGGGGAUUUAGCACCUGAUGUGACAGAUUACAUGUUACAAGAAACCUUUCGGACCCAUUAUUCUUCAGUCAGAGGGGCGAAGGUUGUGACUGAUCCAAAUACAGGACGUUCAAAGGGAUAUGGUUUUGUUAAAUUUGCUGAUGAGGCAGAGAAGAAUCGUGCAAUGACUGAGAUGAAUGGUGUUUAUUGCUCAACUAGGCCUAUGCGGAUUAGUGCGGCCACACCGAAGAAAACAACUGGGGUUCAGAUACAGUAUCCAGCUGCUAGAGGUAAUGUUUAUAUAGUGACAAGGAAUUGUAUUAAUACUACAUUUCUUUGCAAUUUGCAACAUAUCACUUGUUUGCAAUUAGUUACACUAUAAGGCAGUGGAUUUUUAUCAAGAAAGGAAGAGGCAUUGUGGAAGCAAAGAAGGUUGAAGAAAUGAUAAAAGAACCUGAAAUGGUUCUGUUCCAUGUAACUAUAUAAUAGCAUAAGAAUCUUGAUAUUUUAAGCUAAAUUUUUAAUAAAAGAUUUAGGCAAAAUUACAUACUUACCCCUCCCUCGACCUAUAAUUUUUAGUCUGCAGAUGAAUUCCAAAAUGUGAGACUGCAAAAGGUACCGUUUUAAACAGUCAUACAUUCAUAAUUUUCUUUGUGAUAACAAUAUGUCCGAGUUCCUUUUAAGUACCCAUUUUGCUCUCGAUAAUUUUUGCCAAGUGCUCUUAGGCAGGUUGUUGGAGGCAAUCGUACUGAUUUUGAUAUCCUGUCUCAAGAUAUAGUUGAGCUUCAUAAAAUUGUUAGUCUUGCCAGAUUAGUCCUAACAUUUUUUUUGUGCGAAGGAUGGAGGUAAUGAUAGUUUCAGAUUCGUUGAAGAGAUGAAAAGAAAAGGGAAGCCCAAAAAGUAAACUUCUCAAUGGUUUUCGGUUUCUGAUCAAAUUCCCUAUUCGAAACUCAUCAAUAACUCAAUUUUAGGUCCUAUGUAAUUAGGAUUACUCCCUUUUCUUCUUCUUUUUGACAGAUCUGAUGACCAUCAUUGCCUCCAUCCUUCCUGUCCAACUACCAUGGAGUCAACAUAGACUGCUUUGGCUUUUGCCACCAUCAGAUCUCAAUAGGAUUCCUUGUGAAGCCAUGUUAACAUAGACCUUUUUGGCUUUUGCCACCAUCGGAUCUCAAUAGAAUACUGUUCAUUGUGAAGCCAUGUUAACAUAGACCAUUUUUGGUUUGUGCCACUAUCAGAUCUCAAUAGGAUACUGUUCUUUGUGAAGCCAUUAGCUCUGUUAGGCCAAUAUCUUGAGGCCCUCUACAGUCAUGCCACGACUUAGGAGUCAUGCUAGUGGUGAUCAGUUAUUGGCACGAGUCGCACGACUGACACAGCUGGCGCCGACCAUCCUUGGUAACACUCUAGAAUCUAACUACGCUACUAAAUAUUGAUUGAAAGAAAUAGUUUUGUCUGCCAAAAAGAAUUCUUUGAACUGCCUAGAUUUGUUAGGUAUGGUGAAGGGUUAAAGCAAUGUGGACAAUGUCCACAAUGCCACAUGUAGAAAAAAGCUGAAUGCACGAGGCAAAGUGAUCUCCCAUACAGCAUGGUCUAUAAGAGUUGAGUCAUGAAAAAACGACUUCACAUUAGAUAUUUCUGUUUUUUGUUUUUCUUAUGUCAGUCACACAACCAGUCUUGUACAUACUAAAAAUCCUGUCAGCUACGCUGGAGUUUCUGUAGAAGUGCUCUUUGGCUGAAACUAUUAAAAAAGAACACUAACCACUUCCUCAAAAUACCUACAUGUAGUAUCCCCCUGCAGCAAAAGCAAAAGCCUCAAACUUGAACAUCUCAUUUAGGAUCCAAAUGCUCAUUUUAGCUUUCCAUCAUACUAAAAGGUCUUGAAUUUUCAUUUCCUAAACACUGGUUUCGGAAAGUAUCUUCUUUCUGAAGCAGAAAAGUUGCUAUAGAAUAUGGCCUUAAGAAGCAAGGGUAGGUUCAUCUGUGAAUGGAUUUACAUUUCCAUGUUUCUUGAAGCUUAUAUUUUGAUCAUUUUCAUGCUUAUAGCCUGUAGUUAGUUUUCUAAGCAGGAGUACAUAAUUUUACACCUUAUUACCUCUGUCUAGAAGAAUUUACAAGCUGAUGUUUUCUAAUUCAAUGAGCAGCAAUUUAUCCUGCGCCAGCUUAUACAACGCCUCAGCUUGCCCCAGUUCUGCCAGACCCUGACGUAAUGAAUACAACUGUAUGUUCAUACAUAUCUUGUUUUGUCAUGCAUGUUUUUUCUUUAUUAUUGAUCUGUCUAUUUUGUAUUUCAUUGCAGAUAUUUAUUGGCAAUUUGGACCCUAAUAUCACGGAGGAAGAGUUGAAGCAGAUUUGUGCGCAGUUUGGGGAGCUUGUCUAUGCUAAGAUCCCAGCUGGAAAAGGAUGUGGUUUCGUGCAGUUUGUCUCAAGGUUAGUUGGAAUUCAAAGCGAGAGACCUUUUCUUUUUGCUUGGGUUUAACUUAUUUUACAUUAUACGCAAAAGCUUAAGCUAAUAGAGAACGGUAUUUUUAUAUUUUAACAUUCAAAACUCCCCUCACGUUUGGGCUCGAGACUUUUUGAUAGGUUUAUGACGUGGACUUGAAUUAAAUGGGAGGAAAAAAAUUAUCCUAGGAGCCUGACGUGACUUCAACUCAGGACCUUUUGCUUUGAUACCAUGUUAAAUUAUACGAAAUAACCGUUAUUCUCCAAAAUCUUAAGCUUGUAGAGAAUGGUAUUUUUUAUAUUUUUGCGUUUAACACUUAUAAAAGAGCAUAAUAAUAUGCUUUUGCUGCUAUCUGUGGGUAGUUUCUCUGAAGACUGAACAUGUAUAUAUGAAACAAGAUUUAUGGGACUUUUAAUGUCCUCCAGGGACUUGACAUAUGUAAUUGUGCAAAAUUAUCUAAUACAGCUCUAUGAAAUCUGAAUUUCCUUAUAAGCUCUUCAAAAUGUUUUCUUACGUAUACUCUCUCGUGCUUCUUUUGGAAAAUCUUUUCUAAUGCAAAACCAUCCUCCUCCCAUGAAUUGAAUCAUUCCUCAAUCCUCACGAGUGCAACUUAAGAUAAUAGAUUCUUGUAAGAAUCUGUGUUGUAAGGGGUAUAGAUAUGCAAAUUUAGAUUAUACAGUGGUAUAUGUAAGUGAACGAUUUUGCAGGGGUAUUUAUGUAAAACUCCAUUCUUUUAUUCUUCAUUCAUACAUCAUAGCAUUCUUGUACCUGCCUUUUAUUUAUAAACCCAAUAACUUUCUAAGCUCAUUUGGUGGGGCACGAGGCUUUCCUGUGAUUUCUAUCCAACCUCAAAAAAUAUAUUGUUUUAACCAUUUAGAAAACAUUGGACUUCCUGUUCUUGUUUAUGGCUUGAGUGCCAUGGAUUGUAUCUAGCAAAAUGCUUACUCUUUUUUUAUUCUGUCAAUGUCUCCCAAGAUUAGGCAACUAAUGGUUGGUAGAUAAUCUGUUUCAAUUUUGAGAAGGUGCAUGCUUUAUGGUUUGUGAACUUCAUGUGUGUUACCUUAACAGGGCAUCUGCUGAAGAAGCUGUACAAAGGCUUCAUGGCACGAUGAUUGGUCAACAAAUUGUGAGGCUUUCAUGGGGUCGAAGCCCAGCAAAUAAGCAGGUACUUGCUUUGGGCUUUAGAAUAAACUACUGCAAUUCUAAUAGAUCAAAAAGACUUCUUGCAAUUACAUUUGCAAUUUCACUGUCCACUUUUCUUGUUACCAAUACAUGGUGGUACAAAUUGCAUUGAUGCUAUUCUACCUGUUGUUAACUUCAUCUUUUAUUUUGUAGUUUCACUAAUAUUUAAUGUAUGCCCUUGCGGUUCUCUAAACUUUGUAGGACUCCCCUACUAUAGGAAUCUUCAAAAUUCACUCAUAGAUUAUUUUGUUCAUGUUUUGUUGUUAUUAAAUAGAUUUCUUCGAUAUUCCUAUUAUUGUGCUCCAUUCUAUUUCGUCAACCUUUUUCACACAUGAAAAAUUAACAUAUUGCUGUUUUCUUAGCAUCUUUAUCUAGAUUUGCAGCUUAGGGCCGGUGUCAUCAUUUUUGGUGCUUAAUUUCAUGUUUGGCAGCAAGUUUGUGAAACUCCAUCCCCUAGGAAAGCAUUUUACUACUUCAGCAUUUCGGCCUGCACUCUGUGUUUGACUACCAUUAUGGUAGAACUUCAACCUAAUUUGCCAUGGGGUCAACCAAGUGCAAUAUUGCAUUUGACUGAAUCACAAAAGUUUUAUGUCUUAAUCAGUAACGUUUGAGAAAUGAUAUUGAAAUCUGCUCAAGGCAACGCGAUAUAUGAUAAGGUGGGGGUCUUAUGUUUUGAUCGGUUGGAUGGAUCUUUAUUUGGGGUCUUGAAGGAAAUAUAGGGUCUAAACUUAACCUAAUGACUAGAAAAAUGUUGAAAAUAAGGAAAUAGGGAUGCACAAUGGACCAUUAGUGGUACUAAUGAGAUAAGGACUUCAUAACGUGAAAAGGAAAAGGCGGAAUAUUAACUCAGAGGCAUGAUGAAGUAUUGAUGGGGUGAAAGCAAUGUCAGUUGCAAACAGGUUGGGUUUGUAUGCUGAGAUGGAUUAGGUUGGAUUAAGAGUUUGAAAGGUUAAGAUUUGUUGGUGGAAGUUCUGGAUUUAAGGUGUCAGUUGUGGCCUUAUGGGUUUUGUAAAUAUAUGAAUUGAGAAAAACAGAAAGGGUGUGUAGUGGUUUGUUUUCAGCACCAGUGUGUUGCCUAGGAGGUGUGGGUUCCCAUGGUUGCAUUAGUAGAUAGGACUGUUGUGUGGAAAAGGUUCAUUAUGGGGAAGUUUCGGAGCUUGAGUAAUAAAGUCAUUAGGGUUGUGAUUUUGCGAACAAGAGUUAUUGUGGGACGCAGGUAGAGAGAAAUUCCAUUAGGUCACAUGCAGGUGAGAUAUGUUGGUAUCUUCCUUUUAUCAGGGGAGAUAUGUUAUACGUAACUACAUACCUGCAAAAUUUUCUGUUUCCAUCUUCAAGUGUUGAACAUAAUGCUGAACAGUGUUGUCGACAGUAUAGACCAUCAAUAUAGAUGAUGCCCUAACAUUUAUUCUCCAAAUACCAUCCAUCAAGCCUUCACUGUUCUUAUAAAGUUACUCUAUAAAUACAUAUCCAUGAAAUCAUCUGUUUUGACUUGUACCCUUGUGAAAUCUGUAUUUUGUUGCAUACCACUUGGAACGUCAGUUUUUUCUUGUCUGAAUACCCUUAUUUUAAUUUGGGGAGUUUUCAAAUUCAGUAUGAAAUCUUGCCUUUCAAGGAAUGGCAUUCUUACAAGUACUACAACUGUACAAGGGAAUAUGCAAGAAUUAAGUUUUCAGGGUUGCAUAUUUAUAUGAAAAUUUAAAUUUCUUGCGAUCUAAGCUGGGUUUAUAUAUGUAAAGUUCUCUUGUUAUGAUAUAUCUCAAAUCCUUUGUUUUUUUUUUUCCCUUUUUUUGGUGGGGUUUGGGGGGGUACAGAAAACCUGUAGAGAUGUUUAGAUAAAUUCUGAAACUUCAAUGAAAUUUUAUGUGUCUGUCUCAUUCUGUUAUUAACUGUAUUGCAGGAUGCAUCUGCAGCAUGGGGUCAGCAAACUGAUCCUAGCCAGUGGGCUGCUUACUACGGCUAUGGGUAUGAUGCAUAUGCAUACGGGGUAGCGCAAGAUCCAUCAUAUGCUUAUGGUGCUUAUGCUGGAUAUGGGCAAUAUCCUCAGCAGGCAAGGAUAAAAUACUAGAAUUUAAAUGUGCAUCUUCUUUCUAGGACAUUUUUUACAUCCAACAUAUAACAUUUUAUUUUUAUCAUUACUCUCUACUUGAGGAUUUUUAUUCAGAGUCAACUUUACCGUGAAUGCUAUUUCGGCACUCACUUGAUCCGUACUAAUUAUCAAAAACAUCAAAUUUAGCUACAAUAAGUGGAUGCACAAUCUGACUAAGAACCCUCAUGCACAAUCUGAACAACACCACUACUACUGAUGAGCCAUCACUUUUUUGCCAUCGGUGAGCCACCCUUACCGUUUGAGUCACCAUCACUACCGUCGUCACUGCAAGCACCAUCAGUGUCGGUAAAUCACCGCAAUGGGGACUAACACACUGGUCUGAUCAAUCAGACAGCCGUUGUCAUCAACUUCCCAGAUCAAUCACUGCACAUCCACAGCCAUUGUCAUCAACUUUCCUUGUGAACUGCCACUUCUACCAUUGCCUCCAUCACCAUUACCGCCGACAAUUGUUUUUCAAAAAGGGUAAAUUAGGAAAUGUACGCCUUGGAAAGUUAAGUGCAAUCUUAUACGCAACAACAAAGACAAUUGGUCAGAAUUUCAUUGCACAUCAUCCCAAACUAGCGGACUCGUCUCCAAAAUCCAGUUCGCCUCAAUCCUUUGAAACUUCAUAUUGAUCCAAUUUCAUCAGAAUGGGAUUAAAACAGAUAGGAGAAUCUCAGCAGAAAAUAACUUUGAAAUGCUUGACAUAGCUUACAUCAAAUCUGUGCUCCUCAUAACUAUGCGAAAUAAAAACGCAUCAUAGGGUUCACAUAUUACCUGUUGCGAGUGUCAGAUGCAAUUCCGGUCAAGCAAAUUACAUACUUCAGGAACCGGAUGAACAGGCUAUAAUUAUCUUCUCUACAUGGUUUAAUGAAGUACUUCCUUUUCCUAUUGUAGAAAGAAAACCUUUGUAAAUAUGCUGAAUGUUUUUCUCUCGAUGGCUGUGUAACGAAUAAACUACUUUUCCUCUUCAUGUUAUACUCCUUGUUAGGUCGAAGGAGCACCAGAAAUGACAUCUAUAGUUGGUUCUUUUCCGAGCGUGGAGCAGAAGGAAGAAACAUACGAUCCAUUGGCGAUACCCGAUGUGGACAAGUAUGUUCUCCUCACGAACAUUUGCCGCCUCUUGUUAAUCACCUUGUCUCUACCGUGCCUGAUAUAGUUUCUUUUUCUCCAAAACUUUUCUAGGUUAAACAGUGCGUAUCUUGCUGUUCAUGGAAAUACGAUGUUCGGGAGGCCCUUAUGGUUGAAGACCUCUUCAUUGUCGCAAUUAGCUUGAGUAACUGGCUUUUUACCUUUUAGGAGUGCUUUUAGUGCAGAGAAUCCCACUCAAGAGCUUAUGGCUAGUUGUGAUAAUCCGCUGUUUUUAGCAUACACUAAGCCUGUUUGAUUGAUUAUAAACUCUGAUUUCUGUGUUAUUCGCUCCGGAAAAAGAGAAAAAUAAGUGUGCGAGUUUUAUCCGUGCUCUGUGGGUGCAUUUUCAUUGUCAGCUCUUUCCUGAUUGAGUUGGAAAGCCGAGGGUUGUAUUGAUAGGCAAAUAUAGCAAAUACUACUGGAACUUGAAGCGUAUUAGCUGUGCAGAGUGCUGUUUCAGUGAACCAGUGGUACUGGGCUACUAGUCAUUUUUUAGUUGUCUUUGUUUAACCCAAAAUUUGAUCAAAUUUUGCCCGCUCUCUCUCGGUGGAUCCGUAAGUCCAUGCGGCACACAUCAUACGCCCUCGAUUCUCAUCUCAUGCUUCAAUUCCUAUCAUCUGUUGGUUCGCCUGCAACCAAAUUCCUCGCAGAAACUUAACUGGUGCUUUCAAGACAUCAUCGUAUCACUGAACUGCUUUGCAUGAAAAUUUAUAUUAAUUUCCUUAGUUUCAAUCAUGUUGCUCAGAGUCGAGAGUCAACAAAUAAAGCUAAAAUUGUACAGAGGCCCCUCAAUGAAAUGAAUCUUUUGCUACGUUAAUAAAGUAAAAAACUUACAACUAAGCUAAUUUGUUUUUUUUUAUGUCCAAGGUAAUUAAGAUGUUAUCUAUAAAAGUGCGAGAGAAUUUUAAGCCUAAGAAUUUGUUGGAUCCUUACGCAAGCCAUUAAUAAAUGUGGUGUUGUUCUACGUUUAUGGGGGAAGCAUGUGAACUUUGGACGCACGUGAGAGUGAAAAAUGCUGAGAGGUGGGUCUUAAAAAGAAGGAAAGGAGAGCUUGUGCUCCUGCAACUGCACACAGCCGUUGAGUUCUUGAUCCGUGCCCGUGCACCCGUAACGUACGGGAAUCACAUGCAUGUGAAUGGAAUUCUCUCUCUCUCUCUCUCUCUCUAUCCACACACACACACAAAAAAAAGGCAUUUUUUUGCAUUUGGGCCCUCAAAAUAUUUUUUUUCACAAAUAGCCUCAUCAAAUUUAUAAUUACAAAUUUAGCCCUAUCUCUGCCACGCAGGCGCCGUAUCAGCGCCACGAUUUUAAGUUGAACAUGGUGAAUCAUUCAUCGUGUUCCAUAUUUAUAUUUUCUUUUCUUAUAUUUUCUUUAUAUUUUUUCCAAAUACAUAUAUUUAUAUUUUUCCAAAAUAUGGUGAACCAUUCACCGUGUUCAGCUUAACAAGCCGGCUCCUGCCCUGCUCACGUGGCGCUGACGUGGCAUGGUUAGGGCCAUUUUUGCAAAUAUAAAUUUACUGAGCCUAUUUUUAAAAUAAAUUUUUUUUAGGAGGCCAAAUGCAAAAAAAGCCAAAAAAAAGAAAAAAACACAUGUGAAUGGAAUUAGUUUGGUGGAAAACGAAGGUAAAGAUAAAAAGAAAAGCUAAAUUGCACUCUGGUUACUCAAACCAAGAACUCAAGUGUCGUGGCAUGGGAUUGUGCCGGAAACUUGCCGGUAUGUAUUGCACAGUGAGUGUCGGGCCAUACCGAUACGAUCACAAAAAUGACACACAUAAUGACAUAAAAUAUUUAUUUAAUUUCUUUGACAACAAAAUAUUCUGAUGAUUUGUUAUAUUUUUUUAUCAAAUCUUUUCAACUUUAUUGAAAAAAUUACUUACUAAUUUAAAGAAUAGACAGUUUUAAACCGUGCCAUUGACACGGAGGCUGUAUCGUGUUGAUAUCUUGUUAGUGCGAUACAGCACGGUGGAUACGGCCCGUGCCGUAAUGUUUUGACCUUCAAAUUUUAAUUUAUUAUAAUUUCUGGUCCAAACUUUUUACGUUAUUACAGUUAGGUCUACAAUGUAAUUUUGUUGGCUAAUAAUAAUAAUAAUAAUGUGUUAUUGAUGUGACAAUUUGGGACUAAUGCAAAAUUUUUUUAUUAAGAAGGGCCAAAAAAAUAUAGUACAAAAAUUAGGUCGCAUCUAAUAUCAAUUUUUUUAAAAAAAGAAACAAAGUCAAACUCAAAUCCUUGAAUGGUUUUGUAGUUGACAAUUAUUUCUGCAAUUUAUGUAACUAAAUUUUUUGUUCGACAAUAAAAAUAAAAUCUAUGUAGAAACUUUAUGUUUGCAUCUUUAUUUUUUUUUAAAUGAUGUUUCGCGUUAGAUCAAGAUACACUGCAAUUUAACCAACAACUAAAUCCUGAGAAAAUUUUCCACUAAAACUUUCAAAUAUGUAGAAUUUUAUUUACAAAAUAAAAGUUGCAGGUGAUACCAAACAAAAUCAGUAGGCCAACCGCAUAAUUUGAAUUUUAUUUUAGGAGGGCUAAUUUUAAUUUCUAUUAAAUUGAGAAAAAAUUAUAUAUAUAGUAAAAUAUUAGAAAUGUAUGGAGACCCUCUCAACUAUAGCCAGUUUGAAAUAGCCUCCUGAUUUAUAAUUUUUUUUAUUGAGAUUAAUUUUUUUGGAGCUUGUAGCAAAUAAAACUAAAUUAAUUAACUGCUGAUGACUAAUUAAGUAUUCCAUUUUUUUAAAAAAAAGUUAAUUAACAAGUCAUAAAACCAAAUUAAAAAUUUUGAAGGUUAAAGAGGUAUCAAUUUUAAAAAAAAAAGGUAAACUUCAAAUACCACCCCUGUCGCCAUUUUCUCGCUUUAGUACCAUGUGAUUUAAAAUAUAUCAAUGAAGUACUCUGUGGUUUCUUUUUUUUUUUUUUUUUUUUUUUUUCGUCAGCUCCUUCAUUAACAUUUUACUAAAUUAUAUACAAAGACUUCCAUACCCUCACCGAGGUAUUCACCUAGUAAUUUUUAUUUUUAACUUUAUCACUGAUUUAAUAAAAAAAAAAAGGGAGGAAAUAAUAAAAAGAGAAAAACAAAACCACAGGAUACAAAAGUGAUAUAUUUUAAACCACAUGGCACAAAGUAAAAAAUGCGAAACCAUAAGGGUGUUUUUUUUUUUUUUUUUUUUUUUUUUUUUUUUUUGUUUUGUCAAAAUGACAUAUAGUUGAGGAGGUAGCUUACAUUUUUACCAUGUAAAAAUCAUCAUACUUUACUGGAAAGAAAGGAUGAUUAUGAAGCUUCCUAAAACAUAAACAACUUUAGUAGAGAAUAGAGAUGAGAUGUGUUUUUGCUCAAAACCCCUAUAUAAUUGGUUUUUUUAUAAAAACCUAAAAAGAAAAAAGCGAAGUUCUUCUUUGUAAUUUUUAAGAAGCAAGGGGGUCAUGGCUCCUGUAGGUCUUUUAUUCACACAUUAUCAAUAACUAGUGUAGUUAUCCGCACGAUGCAGCGGACAAAUAUUAUCGAAGCGACUUUUUUAUUAUUGUUGAUCAUCAAUGAUAGUUUGAAAUUGUACAUAUAUUAAAAACAAAAAACAGUGAGGAAAUGAAGAAAGAAAAAAAAGAAAAAGAAAAAAAGAGAGGCGUAAAAUAAAGGAAUGACAAAAUAAUUUAAAUAAAAUUAUUAGCCAAAUUAAUAAUUCAAUUAAUUUAAAUAAAAUUAGCCAUGUAUGUUAUAAAAUUUUCAUAUAUAAACUUUAAUAUGAUUUAAAUUGUAUUUGUUGAAUUAGAUUUUAAUUGUAUAAUAGAAAAUUUUUUAAAAUUAUUCAGUGUAUAUAUAAAAUUGUAAAUUGGAGUAAGCAAUUAUUUAUAACAUACAUGCAAAUCCUUUAAAAAAACAUCUCAUUCUAUAAACAAAUCCUAUAAAAAAAAAUAUUUUCUAUCUGCUUAUUGUUUAACAAUUUUACAUACAUUUAAAUAAGGGUUAUUUGCAUACACAUCCCUCCAAACAUAAUAAAUUGCGGAUAUAUCCCUGCAAAUUGGAAACUCCAUAAGUUAUCCCUACAAAAGUCCUAAGUUAUGCAGAUAUGUCCCUACCGUCCAGAUCUGUUAGAAAAUUUUUGUUAACUACGGUUAAAAUACUUAACCAUGGUUAAUUAUAGUGUGAAUUGACGUAUUUACCCUUCUUCCUCUUCUUCCUCUUCCUUCUACUUCGUCGCCGGCGAGGAGAUAUGGCGGCGACGGUGGAGAACCCUCUUCCUCUUCUCCCUUUUUCUCCCUUUUUUCUUCUUCCUUCUUCCUUCUUCCUCUUCCCUCUUUUUCGUCACCGGCGAGGGAGAAGAAUCUCGUCAGGGUCGGUCUCAGAGGAAAGGCGGGCGAGUUUCUGGACGAGAAGCUCGAGGGCGUUGUUGUCGACGAGGGCGGCGACGAGGGCGUGUGCGGGGUCGUCGUGGUCACCGAGGACGUCGGCGUCGGUGAGGUCGGUGAGGAGGGAGAUGACGUCGCCGGCGAUGUCGGCGAUGUCGUGGUCGAGGAGGCCGACGAGGGAGGGGACGGCGUUGAGGGCGACGAGCUCCGGGUAGAGCUCCGGUGCUCGGCGUUCUUCCCUCUUCUUCGUCGCCGGCGAACCUGACCCCGCGCCGCCGCCGCCGUCGUCUGCUUCGACGGUCCGAAAAGGAAAAGAAAGAGAAGGGGAAGAGGAAAACUUUUGGAGGGAUAUAUUUGUGAGGAUAAAAUGGUCAUUUCACGACUUCGCUGUUAAAAAACAAACAGCUCACUAACAGAUGUUAACUGCAGGGACAUAUCUGCAUAAAUUGGGACUUUUGCAGGGACAACUUAUGGAGUUUCGAUUUUGCAGGGAUAUAUCCGCAAUUGGCUAUGUUUGCAGGGAGCUGUAUGCAUUUGACCCUUUAAAUAACUAUAAAAGAAAUUGAAAAAAGCUAAUAGAUAGGGUAGUUUUAAAAAAAAAAUAUUAAAGAAAAAGUAAAAUACAAAAAAUUCCUGAUUACUUGAUUAUCACCAUAUAUAUAUAUACUAUCAAUAAUAAGUUGAUUAUAUAUCCAUACUAUCAAUAGUAAGUUGAUUAUAUAUCCAUAUACUCUCUUCCACUUCUGUCGUUGUUACCGCCGCCGCCGCAUCCAAGAUCUUCAUCUUCUACCACCACUGCCAUCCCCACCAAAUACACGACGGGAUCUACGGAUUCUAUGGACUUGACGCGAUACGACAGUGAUGAAAGCAAGCGACUUUUACGGGAGAGGGAGAGGAUGAAAGAGAUUUAGCAAGAGUUGAAGAACGAAGAGAUUAAUGGAAACAUUGGGGGAAGAAAAAAUUAAUUAUUAAUUAAAUACAAUAAUAAAGAGAGAGAAGUGGGGUUAUUGGAAGGUAAAGAGGUGAGCGUUAAAGAAGAGAAGAAGAGUUAGAACUUUUGGGAGAAAAAAUUAAUUUUGAAUUAAUUACAAUAAUAAUAAAAAGACAGAAGGUGAUGCUAUUGGAAGGUAAAGAGUUAGACGUUAAAGAAGAUGAGAAAGAAAUAAUUAAAUUAUUUAAAAAAAUGAAAAAAUGAGAGCUUGCCAUAUCAUCAUUUGAUAUUGGGAAUUCAUAUAAGAGUAUAGAUAAUAAUAAUAAUACUAUAUCAUUGUCACAUCAAAGUUUUAUGACUACUUAAUUAACUAAAUGGGAAAACUUCAAAAACCUCCCCUGUGGUUUCGUAGUUUCUCACUUUGCCCCCCCUGUGGUUUAAAAUGUAUCAAUUUGGCCCCCCGUGGUUUCUUUUUUCUCUUUUUCUUAUUAAUUUUAUUAUUAUUUUUUAAAUCAGUGAUAAAGUUAAAAUUAAAGGGUACUAAAAUGAAUAUUUGAUAAAUCUAGAUGGGUAUCUGAAGUUUUUUGUAUAUAAUUUAAUAAAAUAUUAACGAAAAAGUUACCGAAAAGAUAAAAACGAAACCACAGGGGAGCAAUUUGAUACAUUUUAAACCACAGGGGGGCAAAAUGAGAAACUACGAAACCACAGUAGGGUUUUUGAAGUUUUCCCCUAACUAAAUUGCAUUGUUGGACAUAACUGCAACAGCUAGAAAGUUAAGCCAAAAAUUAUAAGAAAUUAAAGUGAGGCCACUAAAAUGUACGAGACUCAUAGUUUGAGGACCAAUAGCGCAAUUUAGCCUACACACGAGCAAUUUUAUUUGCACAUCCAAAAAUAAGGUGUAAGAUUUGCACCCAUUUUAAGUUGUUGAGUUAGCAUUUUUCUUUUCCAAAUAAAAGUUGCUAAAUAAUUAUGAUUUCCUUUGAUCAAACAAUUCAAUCUUUACAUAUUUUGAGUUUUGUAUCCAGUUUUUAACUUGUUAAAUUUAAGUAUGAUUUUUCUAGCACAAAAUUUAGACCCAUUAUUUGCUUGAAUUUAAUUAAUUGUUGCCACCACAUAAAUUGUGCAAAAUAUGCUAAUCAAACUUAUAAAAAUAAAUUAAUAAUUAAUCUAAAUCCUUAAAUAGAAGAGUCGGUAAAUGAUUCAGAUCAAAUGAAUUAAAUUUUGGGUAAAUUUCAAAUACCACCCCUGUGGUUUCACACUUUCUCACUUUAGUACCCUGUGGUUUAAAGUGUAUCAAUUUAAUACCUUAUGAUUUCAUUUUUCUCUUUUCAUCGUCUCCUCCGUUAACAUUUCUUUAAAUUAUAUACAAAAAAUUUUAGAUACCCCACCUAAAUUUAUCGAAUAGUUACUUUAGUAUCCUUUAGUUUUAACUUUGUCACUGAUUUAACGAAAAAAAUUAGUAGAGAAAAUAAAAAAAAAAAUCAUGAGUUAUUAAAUUGAUAUACUUUAAACCACAUAAUAUUAAAAUAAAAAAAUACAAAACUACAGGGAACGAUAUUUGAAGUUUUUCUUUAAAUGUUUACAUAGGGCAAAUGGUUAGAUAGCAAAGUUAAACUUUUAAAAUUAGACAUACGUCAAAUCAAGUGGGGAUAUAAUUUAAGUUUCAUAUAUUUUUACCCAACUAAUUAAAGAACCUAUAUAUGUACAUAAUACCUAUUAAAUAAAAGAAAAAAAAUUAAUAUGUUGAGAGUUUAUGUAUUAAUAGCCUCACAACGAAUAAUUAAUAAAAAUAAUUAAGUGUCACUAUAUAAAAAAUAAUUAAGUGUCACUAUAUAUGUCAUAUUUUUUUUACUUUCGUAAAUAAAUUUUGUGAAUAUAACGGAUUCGCGGAGAGGAGUCGAAAGUGACUCCAUGGGUUUGGAUUGGGCCAAAACUCCCACUUUAAUGAUAAUAAAAUUUCCUAAGUUAAUUAACUUUGAUUUAAUGAUAGUUUCCUAAGUUAAUUAACUUUGAUAUGGCCUAUAGAGAGGUAAAGGGGUCUCUGUACAUUUUUAUCAAGCUCAUUUGAACACUCUGAUACACAAUGCUUUAAAAAUCGAAUCGAAUGGCGGCCAAAAUAUUACUGAAUCAAGGAUCACUGGUUAAACCGAUGACUUUAACAUAACGUCACAAGUAUUUAGUUAUAUUUUGUGAUUUUAUUAUAAAAAUAUAUAUAUAAGUAUUUCUAAUAUCCCAAUUGAUUGUAAAAUAACUUAUCUAUAGAUUAAAUUAAGUGAAUUUAAUUUUUAUGUUUUACUUUUUAAGAGAGUAAUCUGUGCUAAUUGAAAAGCAAAAUCAGCUAAGUUAAUUUUAAGUCGUCGGAUUUUAAUAUAACUAGAUCAGAAAAAUCCAGCCGAUUUAUUUAAGCUAGGACCGGUUCACUGGAUCGAUAUAUAGUUGAAUUGUCGGUUCUAACAAUUUGAAACAAUUUCUUGACUUAUUCGAUUUUAAAGGACUGAAUCGAAUCAUUUUAUAGACUAGAUUACGGUUAGACUCAUCGAAUCUGCAGAUUCUACACAAGUUUUUAAAUCAUUGACAAUAUAAUUACAAAAUUCUCUUCAUACAUAAAAAAUGCACACAUUUGAAGCACAAAUCACCUACGUGUAUAGAGUUCGGCUGGGAUACUAUCGAUAGCAUGAAACGUUUGGUGCUAUCAAAUUUUUCGUCGUUAGAUUUAAUCCUUUGACUAUUUUUAUCUGUUAGAUUAUACUAUUAAACUAAUAUAAGACUCAUUCAACCCUAAUGAGCCCAUAUUAUGUUAACCGUAUAUUUUCUUAUCAAAAAAUCAAAAAUCUAAUAGCAUUAAUAACUUAAUAUUAUUGAUAGUAUUCUGGCCGGACUAUAUACAUAUACAAGCCCUCGAAUCAAAUUAAGAAUUGAGAAUUUCCGACCUCGGGAUGCCUAACGGUCACAUGCGUUCAAAGAGCAAAAGAGCAAAACCCCAACCGUGAUCACAUUUAAACCACACUCGACACCACUCCACCCCCUCACACUUCAUAUCCCGCGCCCUCCCCACCCUCAACACAACACAACACAACACAGCACAACACAUACAUGCACACACUCUCACUCACUUAAAACUCCCAUGCACACACAUUCCCCUCCCCUCCCCCUACUACUUACUCCUUCCUCCUCUUCCUCCUCCAAAAAUCGAUAAUAUAUAAAUACCAAUUAAUCAGCAAUGGAUAAUGGCAACAGCAGCAGCAACAACAACAACAAUAGUAAUAGUAGCAGCAGCAGCAAUUCGAUGUUGCGGAAGCUGUCGACGGGGGUGGUCGGGGCGCUGCACCGGCCGUGGAAGAAGGGGCCGGCGCGGGGGAAGGGCGGGCCGCAGAACGCGGCGUGCGAGUACCGCGGGGUGCGGCAGCGGACAUGGGGGAAGUGGGUGGCGGAGAUCCGGGAGCCGCGCAAGCGCACGCGCAUCUGGCUCGGGUCCUUCGCCACCGCCGAGGAGGCCGCGCUCGCCUACGACGAGGCCGCGCGCCGCCUCUACGGCCCCGACGCCUUCCUCAACCUCCCCCACCUCCGUGCCGCCCACCCUGCCGACUUCGCCCCCCGCCCCGCCCAGCGCUUCCGCUUCUUCCCCAACUCCCGGAGCUGCGCCGCCCUCGUCCCGCCCUGCGGCCUCCUCAACCUCAACGCGCAGCACAACGUCAACACCAUCUACCAGAAGCUCCAGGAGCUCAAGAACAACCCCAACAGCUCUCCCAUCCAUCCCCCUCCUCCUCUUCCUCCUCCUAUUACCGCCGCUACCGCAGUUACCGCCGCCACCGCUGCUGCUGCUGCUGCUACUACAACGAGCCUCUCUGCUUCUUCUAACUUCACACCGCCGUCGAACAACGACGGCGACGACGCGCAAAUUGCGAGUGGCGGCGAGGGAGAGAGGCCGCAGAUCGAUCUCCGGGAGUUUCUGCAGCAGCUGGGCGUGAUCGGGGCGGAGGGCGAGGAGAGAGCUGGACUGAGCAGCGGCACGGCGCAGCCGUCGGGGACGGCAGUAGAGAGCGGCGGCGGCAGCGGCGGCAUGGAUUCGGAGAUGGCGUUGGGCGGUGCGGAUGUUGCUGAUGAAGAGAGCGGCGGGUUUAAUUGGGACGCUCUGGAGGAGAUGCGAGCUUUGGAGGAUUUGUAUCAUGAUCACCCGGCCGUUCUUAUGCGUGAGGAGAGCGGCCACGAGAUGUUGCAGGUUGAUGACAUGCAUGAGGAGCUCAGCUUGCUGCCCAUCUCCAUUUGGGAUCUUUGAUAAUAAUAUAAAAAAAUUGAGGAAUUUUAUUUGUACUGUCUCAUAAGAGUAUAGAUCUUACACUCUAUUUCAUGAUUCAGAAAUACUCAAAUAUUUUUUAGUAAAAAUAAAAAAAAGCUAAUAUGAUAAGCAGAGAAUUAAUAGUUUUUUGGAUGGAGUAGAUGUAAGAUAUACAUUUUAGUUUGGGGGUGUACCGAUAGUAUUGCCUAUAUAAUUUUUGUGGGAAUUUUUAGACUUGCAAUCAAAUUUCAUGAUACAAUUUAAUUGCUUGCUGAAUUUUAACAUCUUAUCAUUUCUUUCUCGUCAAUCAUAAUAUUAGUACAAUCACUGUGGUAUCAAUAAAUAUAUACCAUUUGAUGGAAUAAUAUACACGGUGGAACUUAAUUGCAAUAAUCAAUUAUUUUUUUUUUUUUUUUUUUUUUUUUUUUUACCGACCGUCCGUAGCGCAAGUGGCAAAACGACUUGGUGGUUGGUAUCUGAGACCCAAGUUCGAAUCCUUGAUAAUUCAUGUUUUCUAGCCAAGUUUAUUUCUAAAUAAAAUAAACGAAUCUGGUAGCAUGCUAUCUUUCUCUCUAAAAAAAAAAAACAAUCUAUAAAUUUUUAAGUAAAAAUCAAAGUUUGGAACCAAAGUAUCUGGCGCCUAACAUGCUCUAUCGAAAUGGAUAAACAGCCAAUUUUUUUUUUAAAUGGAAUCAAUUAAUAAGGUUAAUUUUCUGAUACUCUUCCAUCUACCCCUAAUUUCAUAGAUAACCCUUAAAAAUUUUCAAAAUAAAUGAAGGCCCUUUAAUUUUAUGAAACUAUCUAAAUUAUCUUUACUAUUUAACUCUAUUUAAAAUUUGGCAGUUUGCCCAUUUCGCGAUGGAGCAUGUUGGAGUCGAAAGGGUUUAAGGUUUUAGAAUUGAAAGGGUUUAGGAUUUUCCAGUUUUAGGGUUUAAUGUUUUUAGAGUUUCAAGAUUUUAGGGGUUUUAGGAUAUUUAGGGUUCUAGGGUUUAGGAUAUUUACAAUUUUAUUUUUUUUUUAACUGUUUAGGUUUUAGGGUUUAGUAGCACGGGCAUGAAAAUUUAAUUAGUGAGUGCGCAUAAAAUAAUUUCUUAUUCUUUCAUGGUAGCCAAAAUAUUAAUGAUUAUUAACUAAAAGAGGCAAAAUAAUCAUGUUAUGUUUUAAGUCAAGUAAAAUUUUUUAUUAAUAUGUAUUAACUAAAAAUUUUUUGACUUUCUUAUUUACCACUCAUAAAAAACUAAUAUUAAAAACACCUUUUUAGUCUUUCAUAGAUAUUACUAGAGAGUUAAAUUUUGUUAUUGAUUAAAAGAGGCAAAAUAAUCGUGUUAUGUUUUAACUCAAGUAAAAUUUUUUAUUAAUAUGUAUUAACUAAAAAUUUUUGACUUUCUUAUUUACCACUCAUAGAAAACUAAUAUUAAAAACACCUUUUUAGUCUUUCAUAGAUACCCGUAAAAAGUUAAAUUACGUUAUUGAACGGUUAAUAACAACCGUUAUUUCUGUGAAAUCAUAAUUUUGUCCUUUCAAAUAUACUCUUCUACGGUGGCGAAUUUUUUUUUAUUUGCCUUUACGUUAAGGGCAAAAAGUGUAUUACCCUUAAGUUAGAAAUAAAAUAGGUAUUUUUUAUUAUUUUUUAACUAUAGUUGAAAUUUAACUAAAGUUUAACCUGAGAUGAUUUAAUGGACACUAAUAGAAGGGUUUUUUUUUUUUUUUUUUUUUUUUUUUUUUUUUGCUUGUUUAAUUGUGCUACUUUCUGUUUUUUUAUUUUUAAUUAAGUAGCACACUAUCCGCUUCGUUUAUUUCAUUUAGAAAUAAACUUAGCUAGAAAUGUGAAUCAACUAGAAUUCGAAUUGGGUACCAACCACAAAGCCCUUUGCCACUUGCUCUAGGGACAGUCGGUGGGGUAUUUUUGAAUAGCAGAAAAAUAUAUGAGAGAAAUAUUUGAAAAAAAAAUAAAAAAAAAAUAUUUUAGAGAUUUUGAAGAGUAUAUAGGAUUUAUUCAGACUAGGGUUCUCUCCUUGGGAACAGGAUUUAUUCGGACUAGGGUUCUCGGAUUUGGAGAGGAAGUCGACAAAGGCUUAGUUUGGUGUUGAGUUCUAUCUAAUGCUAUUAGAUAAAAUGAAGUUGAGAUAAAAGUAUAUAGGAAUAUACUUCUGCGGUACUUCCGAUUUGCAUUAGCAUAAAUCCGGAUCCGCACCAAUACACUCCAGUUUGGCCCAAGCCCAAUCGUGAGCUCAGCAGCAAGCAACAAGCACGAGGAACCCACACUCCAGUCGAGAGGUCCAUUUACCAUAUUAAUAUUUUUUUACAGUUUAAUCUUAUACAUCUUUCAAUUUACAGCACAGUAUAGUAUAUAAUAUAGAUAAGUACGUAUAAGGCUGACAAUCUUUAUACGUAUCAGUGGAUUGCCCAUAAAUUUACAGAUAUAAAUAUUAGUUUAUCUCGCCCAAAAAAUAUGAGUAAAAUAAAUAGGUACCCAUUAAGUUGUAAAUAUUUUGGGCAGUCCGCAUAUACCGACAGAUACCCGCAUAUUUUUUUUAAUUAAAAAGUGUAUAAUUUUUAUCAUAUUGACUCUAUAAUUAUUGAAAUUUUUAUUAAUUUUAUAUCAUUUAAAUUUGGAAUGAUAAAAUUCUUUUAUACUAUAUAAUUUAUAUAUUUUAAAAUUUUACAUUAUUUAUAAUAUGUUAUGAUAUUUCAAACAAUAAAAAUUAUUUAUAUGUAUUUUGUAUUUAAAAAGUAUAGAAAUAAAAAAAAAAUCUUGCAGAUAGCGGCGCAUAUAGGGAUGUCAAUGGGUAUGGAUACCCGAGAUUUUAUCCGAAUCCGAACCCGAAUGAAACGAAUAUAUCCGAUGGAUAUGGAUAUGGAUUCGGAUAUGGAUAUAAAAAAUAGAAACCCGACGGAUAUAAUUUCGGAUAUGGAUUUUGAUUAUAUCCGACCCGAACCCGAACCCGACCCGAACCCGAAUUUAUUUUGUAUUAUAUAUAUAUAUAUAUAUAUAAAUUUAAUGUUAUAUUUGAAUUUAUAUUUUAAAAAUUUAGAAUUAAUAUAAUAUAUUUUGAAAUAUUGAAAAAAAAAUAAUUGUUUCGGGUUCGGGUUCGGGUUUCGGAUUUUUGGUCGGGUUCGGAUUUGGAUAUAGAUUUUUAAAAUUUGUCGAGUUUGGGUUCAGAUUCGGGUUCGGCUUGGAGUGGGUCGGCGUUCGGUAUUUUUAAAAAUCUGUCCCGAAUCCGAGCCGUUGACGUCUCUAGGCGCAUACCCAUCUUCUGUCGAUCGGUGGACGGAUAUAUGAGUAAUAAUGUUGACUACUAUACUAUAUAUUCAAAAAUUGAUGAAUACAUUUUAUUCAUGUCUAUAUAUAUACGAUUGGCAGGUAUAAUGAUCCAGCAACGCCCUAAACCGUUUGUUUGGUCUAUACAAGGCUGAAUGUAAUUAGAAGGGAAUUAUGAGAAAAUGAAAUAGAUCGUCUGUUCCUCUUCUCCUUCCUUCUCAUCUUGCGGAUAGGGCAACUUCGUGUGGGGGGUGUUACAGCUUGCUGCCCUAAUCAAUAAUCAAUUCCUCGGACAGCUGACAAGAAAGAAAGCAAUUGAUGAUGGCGUCUCUGGGGUCGCUGAAAUCCUCCAUCUUCGACAAAGAGGAGAAAAAGCAGUAAGCCUCCAUUCCUUCCAUUCUUUCUUUCUUUUUUUUCUUUUUUUUUUUUUUCCUUUUUUCUUUUCCUCUCCCCGCAAUCGUGCAUAAUUUGUUCGCGUGGUGGACGCAGGCAAUACCAAUCGCACGUCAGAGGGCUCAAUGCUUACGACCGCCACAAGAAAUUCAUGAAGGAUUACGGUUCUCUCUUCUCUGCUUUUGCUUUAUUUGCUCUACUUAUUUAUCAGCAUAUUGUCCCGUUGCUUUUGCGUAGCAUACAUACAAUCUUAGAUGUUGAAUUAAUGAUAGGGUAAACUUCAAUUUACCCUACCGCCGCACUCUCACUUUGCCACGGUGUGGCUUAAAAAGUUACACUUAACUAUCCUGUGGUUAAGCGCGUUUUCACUUUGCGACCCCGUGGUUCAAAAAAUUGCACUAAACUGUGCUGUGGUUUUGUUUGUGUUUCUACCCUCAAAUAGGGUAACAAAGUGAGAUAUUGAAAAAACCAAGGACGGUACCUUGUUUAACGAUAGAUCUUUAUAGUGAAACAAGAAUAAAACCACAGAGUAGUUAAGAAUGACUUUUUGAAUCGCAGGGUGGCAAAGUGAAAAUGCGCUAAACGACGGGGGGCAGAUUGAAGUUUACCGUGAAUAAUGAAAAGUAUUGUUGAUUAGCGCAUGUUGUAAGGCAGAAUGAAAAGUUGGUCUAGAUCCUUUAAUUUACUACACACUGGACAUUGAAACUUUGCCGCAUAGGACGAAAUGAUGAAUGGAAGGAUUUUAGAUUGGAUACUUAGAAGUGAUGUUUGUUUCAUAUGAAUAAGUUCAAAUGGGAUGAGAGUAGUGAUUUCGAUGUUGAAGUUGCAAUUGUGGCGUGCCUGAUUGGUGAGUAAGAGAAGAGAAAUUUCUAUGCAGUUUUGGUUGCAUAGAUGUGAUUAAAGAAAAAAGCAGAAAAAAGAAGAUGCUAUGUUUAGUCGGAGAAAGAAGGAUGGAUGUUUUACAACGGACAACUUGAUUACAAGUUUGAACAGAAUGAAAUCUAUUAGAAGAUUAGAGUUACCAUGAAAGGUUGGUGUUUAGCAGAAGAUGAGGCGACAGAGAAGUUCAGCUUCUAAUCUCUGAAGAAGAUUUCUGUUAAGUUUGUUACGAAGAGUAAGGAAUCAAUAAGCUUAUACUUUUAAGUUCUAUUCCUUCUAAAUCCAUUUUUCAUAAUAUUCUUAUGUGGGAUGCUAGAGGUCGCUUGCCUUGAUAAUGAUGUUUGAGGAUGCAUUUCUCUAGACUGCUUUCCUGAAUGACGGUUUUGCGAAGAAGCUGUUUUAGGCAUUGGCUUGAGUGUUGUCUUUAAGUGUUCUUGCAGAUAUAGAACCGCCAUUCGGGAUGAGAGUCUUAGAGUUUGUUUUCUUCGAAUAUGCUUUCAGGUUCAGUGGUAAUUUUGGGUACAUUAUUUAUGUCCAACAAGGCUAUAUACAGAUAUUUUGGGAAUUAAUAUUCGAAUAAAGAUAGUUUAGGAAAUCAAAUAACACAAGAUCUAGCUCCCCAGUCCCCACGCAGCUACUUUUUUUUUUUUUCCUGAUUUUGAACUAGAUAGAUUGUUUAACUCCACUUAAACCUUUAACGCGUAAAAUUAAAUAGCAGUCCAACUUGGGUUCAAUUAACAAGAUUGGCUUCCAACUUGGUAUUGGCAUCAUAGAAAUGGGUCAAGGUGAAGAUUCAAAAACCAAUAUGAAGAUUCAGAAGUAGUAAGAGCUGCAUGUUAUUUGGAAAUGAAAACUAGGAUGAGUGCUGACUAGCUGCUAUAUGGUAGUGCAAGCUGAGAUGUCUUUCGGUUUUUUGCGUUAUAAACAACGGGGUUAUUGGUUAGAGAAGUGAGACAACAGUUUAGAAUCCACAUAAAUACAUGAACUUAAAGAAAACCGGAGUCGCAAUGAAUACUAAAGUACUUGGUACCAGUUUUUAAAUGCAUUAGCCUAUUUGAGUAUAAUGUUUCUCAUAUACAGCUGAAUUAUCACUCUCAUGGAUAAUUUUCAUUAUAUACAACUUUUUGUAAUUUUCAUUCAGCAUCUCGGUAACUGGUUUGUUAAAAAUCAAUUUAAUAGCAAUUAUGAAUUGAACUUGUACUUCUCCAAUCAGCAUGUUUGACUUACACAUCAAUUUUCCCAACUUUCUGGUAUAAUCUUCAUAAUUGCCUACAUAAGACUAGUUUUUCUUAUGCACAUUUCUAUUCACAACCUUCACUCUAGUUGUUUUGCACACAGUGUUUAAAAAAGCCCAAGGCGCACCUAGGCGCAAAGGCCUGUUGGAGCCUAGGCGCAAGGCGCAGGCGCGCGCCCGAGAGAGGUCAUGCGCACACUUUCAUAAAAUUUUGAAAUAAGUAAAUAAUCAAGUAAAAUGCUGUUUUUUCAAAUGUUAAAAUGCUGUUUUAUUUUCAAGUAAAAUGCUGUUUUUUUUAAAAAUAAAACAGAAAAUUUCUACUUCAAAAAAAAGCAUAGAAAGCACUGCUUUUAAAAAAAAAAAAGAAAUAUACACAAAAAACUUAAAGAGAAACUAGAGAGAGGCCAAGGGAGAGACAAAAAACCUUGGAAGAAGAGGCGAGCGAGUUGAAGAAGCAAGGAGGAAGUGCCGGAAGCAAGGACAGCCGGAGAGGGAGUGCCGGGGAGGGAGAGAUGGCCGAGCGGGUGAGCGGACAGGGAGAGGGGCAAGCGGACAGGGAGAGGGGAAUUGAGAGAUAAUUGAUGAUUAUUUAGGGUUUAGUUUAGGGUAUUGGGCUUAUUUUAGAUAUUUCAACCCGUUAGACCAAUAAAAUCUGGAUCCAAAUCCGUUACUAUAAAUAUUGCCUAGGCGUGCCUUGAGGGUGCCUUGCGCCUAGUCCCAGGCGCGCGCCUAGGCUGCCUAGGCGCCCGCCUGAGUCAUGGCGCUUGCCUAGAGCUGCUCUAGGUGCUGGCCUGUGCGCCUAGAGCCUAGGCGCCUAGGCGCUGCGCCUAGGCGCCCUUUUUGCUUUUUUAAACAGUGUUUGCACAAUAGCUACCUUUAGAUUGUAACUCAAGGGAGUCCACUUCAUGGAUUUUUUGUUAGCUCGACUAUCUGAUGUUUGUUUCAUUCUAUUUUUACAUGCUAUAUGGCCAUGUUAUGUGUCAUAUAUUAGGAAAACUUGGGGUAAUAUUUGGAGAGAGAGGUGAAAAAUGGACGCUCAGGAACCUUGCAUAUAAUUAGUAAUUUAUUUGCUGUAUCCUGGUGUCGUAAAGGAAAUAGAUGAUGAACAGUCCCCUUUGCUAUAGAAAUAGAUCGGGGGCUACAAUCAUCUGUACACUUGAUCUUUAUUUACUGGGCAAAUGUAUGGAUAGUCCCUAUCUUAUACGAAUACUGCAAAUCUCAUUGGUGCACUUUUCAGUUAAAUAUUUAAACUUCAUGCAUUGAACGUUCAUUUACGUUGCACUAUAGCCCCCGACUGUCAAAAAGAUCUAAGUUAUCUUACAAAAUGAUCUUUUAUCCCUUCUUCUAUAAAAUAACUCACUUUUUUUUACUAAUUCAGGCGGGGUUUAAUAAGCCUUUGACAGCAAAAAGUCAAAAGAUGUGAGUUUUUCAGGGACAAGUUUUCAAGUGAAAUGUAUUAGGAUAAAAUCGCAAUAUUGGGAUAGUACAAGGUUUGCACCAGAAUACUCCUAAGAGUAUCUGUACUCCACUGCUGUCAAAUCCUUUUUGAUGAUAGAAUAUCCGAAUUGAUGGCUGGCACUGUUGAAGGCAAUCUAGACGUCUGAACGUUCUAGGGACAAUUGUGUUAUUUUGCGAAAUGCCCCUGUUUGUUCACAUAUGCCUGUUUGUUUAUUUAUGCAAGAAUGUUCUUGCUGUGAGGUCUGCUACCUAUAUAUGCCACCCUUAUAUACUCACAAAUUCAAUAUACGGGUACAUGCAUUCUUAUUUGUUAUACAACAAGCACUAAACUGUGUAUUUAACUUAAUGCAUCAUUUGCUAUGUAUUUGAUUAAACGAUGGGGGUUACUGAUUAAUAAAUAUUUGUUUUAAAUUUUUAAUAUCUAUUCCAUGGUGUUUAUAUCCCGUGCCUUUGCUGUUUUCCCAUGUUUCUUGGCCGAUCAUUGUGAAAUUGGACUAUUCCUUUGAGGGUACAAAUAGAAAUUUGCACUCAGGUAGCAGUUCAUGUGAAAGAAAAUCUUGGUUCUUUUUGUAAAUUUUAGGACAAUGUUAUCUGACCAUUUUUGCCAUCAAUAUUCUGAUUGAAAGUAUUGUUCUUGAUACAAAUUUACUAAGAGGAUUUUCCUUGUUUUUGUACAACUAACUAUGGAUGUGAGAGGAACUUUUUAUUUUUUUAUCUUCAUCGAGAAGAUCUAUUUGUUAGAUAUUGUUAGGGUAAAUUGCACUGCUAGUCCACAAACUUUGACCAAGUUUCACUUUUGUCCUCAAGCUUUUAAGUCCGAUAUUUGAUACUCGCAACUCUUGGAAGUGUUUCAUCUUAGGCCUUUUCCCUUUUUUCUGCUAGAGGGAAAAUGCUCGACUGCACCCUGUGCAUCUUUACAUUCAUGCAACUUGAACCUAUCGACCCUGGAUCUUUCAUCUCAUAUUUCGAUCCUACCGCCCAUUUUGUCGUAGUCUUUCUAGUGUUUAGAAGUUGGACUGUUGGAUUAAAAGUAUGAGAUGGAUGAAGGGCUGAUGAAUUAGUUGUGUGCAUAGAGGUACGGAUGAGUUGGAUGCAUUCGCUAUUUUUUUUUCCCCCAUGUUAAUGGCUGAAGUGAAAAAAAAUCUGAUAGUUUGGAAUCUUGAAUGUCGAACUUAAAGUUCAAGGAUCAAAAUGAAACUUAACGAAAAGUACUGGGAUUACUAGUGCAAAUUAGUUAACUCUAUUAUUGUUAUACAGCCUGUAUAUAUUAGUGCUAUAUUAUAUUUAUAUGUGAUACAUAUCUUACAGUUCAAUAUUAUGGAAGAGCCAAGAAAACUUGUGGUGAUUUGCCAAUCAAAACUGAUCAAGACACUCUUAGAGAAGGCUAUCGGUAUGUUGUAUUAACUGCCACUAUUUCUUUUUUCAUUGCUUUUAAGUGAAUAAUAGUGCUGUACUAUUUGCUAAUGUCCAUUAGAUAAGGUGAAAGCUCUCCUGGUUGAUACCUUUGAAUAUUCUUUAUCGUUUAAAUUUGCUGUCUAUGCAAUUAGUAAUUUCUCAGAUUAUUUCUGUAGGAUCCUUCAAGUUGCAUAUGGAUAGCAUGUAAAAACACCCUAUAGGAUUAUUAUACAAGAUGUAGAAACACCGAAUAGGUUGAAUGUUACUCGAUCAUACAUGAUGUAGGGCUUGUCAUGCGAUGUGGUUUUCUGGCAGAGAUGGAAAAGCUAACUGAAGUAUAUAUUAUUUCUGAUAUUUUGGGUCAUAAAACUCAAGGGUCGUUGAAUUGUGGAUGCAUGCUUGUUUGUGCUUAUCUUCAUGAAGUUUAUGAUAGUAGAUUGCUUAAAUGUGCUCAACAUUUAAGAAUUAAGCUAUACUUGCAUGCCGCUUGUGCAGUCAAUCGAUCACAUACACACAUGCAGAUGCAUAUAUGAGUAUAUGGCUAUCUAGACCUUUUAAACAGAAUAGAAAAAUAACUUCUUACAUUCUUUUACGAUUUGUUAUAUUGAAUAUACAUUCAACAAACUAUGGGUAUGCCAUAAUGUUUUAGUUCAUGAUGGAUAGAUGGUGAGCACAUGACGGUCAUGUGACCAGGGAGUAAGGAGAUAGUUGACACACGAUGGGCACGUGCCCGUGGAGUGCCCGCUCAGAAACAUGUCCUUUCGAACAUGACACAUACCAACAUUUUUGAAGUGUCCAUGUUUCCUCCAUAGUUAUACUUUGCAUUAAUGCCAUUUUUCUGUUUUUCUCCCCUCCUCUUUUCUGGUUGCUUUUGAAUAUCACAAUUUUCUUCAGUUCUUAAACAAAAAAUUUCUAGUUUUAUUUGGAAUUUCCUAACAUGGUUAUUUCUCGUUGUGAGAAAAGGUUCAUUCUAUCGGAAGAAGAUGAGAUGGAUUCUACCUGGGAGAAAAAGCUGGUCAAACGUUACUAUGACAAGCUUUUCAAAGAGUAUCCUUUGUAAAGAUUUUGUAAUCUGAACUGCUAUCCUGAGUUGUUUAAUUGUUGAUGAUAUUUGUUCUGAUGAUUUUGGUCCUGUGGUCCAUGUUUAUAGUAGUUGACAUUUAAUAUAGCAAUUCUUUUUAACUCUGCAAUUCUUUUGCAUGGAAAAAUUCUGUUACUGACAAAAAGCUGAUAAUAGUGUGAUAGUGAAAUCAAGAGAUGCAUUUCACAACAAGGAUUUAAAUACCGUGGUACGGGAUCGUGCUGAAUACUUGCCGGCAUGGUACGGCAUAGUGCGUGCUGGGCGUGUCAUUGUGUGCUGGUCACAAAAAAAAACAUGUGUACUGACACAUAAUAGUAUGAAAUAUUUAUUUCCUUUAGCGACAAAAUAUUCUAAUUACUUAUUAGUUAUUAUGUAUCUUUAUCAAAUCUUUUGAACUUUAUUGAUAAAAUUACUUACUAAUUUAAAGAAUAGGGUUUAAACUGUGCCUUCAGCAUAGGAACUGUAUUGUGCCAAUAUCUUGUUGGCAAGAUACGGCUCGAUAGAUAUGGCCCGUGCCGAUGGGCACUUAAAUCCUUGCUUCACAAGGUCACCAAGUGUAGGAUAUAUUCUUUAUGCACAUAGGAUCGUCAUAGCUACAUGUAAUCUUGAAUUGUCGUGGCAUAUGCCAGUUAGCGCGUUGUAGGAUGAAAAAUGCUGGCUAUUUUGUUCUUCUCUAAAUGUUUUUUUGCUGUGUGUAGUUACAUAUGUUGGUAUCUUCUAUGGAGGGUGAAUGUGCCAGGAUGAGUAGACACAAGUCACACAACACCUUAGAAUUUUGUUUUAUAAUAGCUCUUUCAUAGUACUUAUUCUAUUAACAACAAAAUUUUUUAUGUCGUGUACUUUACAACUGAUAUAUUGUAAAUUAUAUUGUCCUAAGGGUUCUUAGAAAUCAAGAAGUGAUGUUUCUUUACUCUUUGGAAACCCUAACUUGUGAAAGAUAUUGCAUUGCUGACAUGUCACAGUACAAAAAAGGCAAGGUAUGUUAUAGCUAGCUAGGCAUGAAGUUCAAUAAGUUUCUUUAGCUCUUACCUACUCUGCAGUAGUUCUGAAUUUUUAAUACAGUUAACUGUGCAUAAUACUUUACAUACUUUAGAAUUUUAACAUUGUUGUUUCUUCUUUUGGUUUUCUGUGCUGAAGCUUGUACACUUGUUUUCUUGUGCUUUUUCCAUCUGGUUGUGGUAUUACUCAGUUGUUUACAUGGUUCUUGGUUGGUUCGAGGGAGGAAGUUUUGGAGGGGAGGGUGGCGAGGGGGAUUGGUGCUGUGGUUUGUUUUGGUGGGGAGGGGGUGGGGGGGUCACAAGGUGUGGAAAGAUUGAGGUAGAAUGGAACAAUUGAAGGACAAGAAUUGGUGGUGCUGGCAAGUGCAAUGGUGGAGAUGCUGGUAGUUGUUAUUUUGGAAGUAGAAGGGGUAGUUUGCUUCUAUAUUAUUGUAGUUAAAAGAGGAAGUAGUGCUUCUGUAUGUUUGUAGUUAAAAGAGGAAGUAGUACAUCUCAUGUUCAUGUUCUUACGUUGUCUGUCUGAGCUGUAUUAUUUAUGUGCUUUAGGUGACAUGCAUAGCAAAUGGGGUUUUGAAGGCCUGUUCACCAUUUUCUGAAAUCCAUGAAUAAGUUUAAUCUUGAUCAUAUAGCUUCGGUUGCAUUGUUAGGUGAAAAAAUCUUAUUUCUUCAAAAGUGACUUCACUCAAUUGGCACAACAGUCAUGAGUCACAUCUUGAUAGUUAAUGUGUUGUAGCUUGCUGAAAUUUCGCAUAAGAUUAGUAUCUUGUUGAAGAACAUAGCCUGUAGAUGAACACCUGUCUUUGUCUGAUCAAGCCACUCUCUCUCUCUCUCUCUCUCUCUCUCUCUAUAUAUAUAUAUAUAUAUAUAUAUAUAUGUACAGAUUGCAUUCUUCUGAGGUUCUAUGAACCACUAAAAAAAAUAUACGAGGAGAUGGUUUAAUCAAUGUUUGCUUUUCAUCAAGGGUUAAACCUACUACGGCUAGUUACAGCAUUGCUAUACUGGGUAAUGGGUAACAUGGCAACCCUUGUUUUCUCUUAUUAAAAUGAAAGAGAUGAAAUUAAAGGUUAAAUUGAGCAUAAAUUUACCUGUAAUUCAUUUGAAUAAUGGGAUUUAAUGGUGAAGGUUUAUGUUAGGUAAAUUUAUUUGUGUAAUUUAUACUUGUAGUUUGUAAUGCCAAAAGCCAAGGAUUUUUUCGUUGAAAAUACUGGCGAAUAAAUAAUUCAUCCGUGGAAUCACACUUGCAUUUGCAUGUUGAAACUAAAUCCUAUCAAUUUCUUCAAUAAAACCAACUAACCUCUUUGAGAAAUGCCUGUUAGAUAUGCUGUUUUCAUGAAGUGUUUAAGUGCUGUGAGCCUAUGACCUGCUGGUAAAAUGCUGUUAAAAAGUGUAUUUACUUCAGUUUUUAGGGUUGUAAAGUAAUUUUAGGCUAUGUGGCAGGUGGUUUUCUGAAACUUUUUCCUAUUCUAGAAUCUACAGACAUUUGAUUGUCAUGUACUCACUUUUGACAGUGUUUUAAUGUUUGAUCCUUACUGCAAACCAUAAUAUUAACCAUCGGGCUGCAAGAACUUGGCUUUAUCCACAUGGUGAUAAACUUCUACUUGGUUAUACUAUAGGCAAGUUUUUUCGAAGCUUUCCCUGUAAUCGUGUUAGUUUGGGAACUCAUUUUUCAAAAUAAUUGUACUUGGUUGCAAUUUAAAAGAACUCUAGAAAGUUUGAUUAUAUAGUAAUGUACAAUGUGUAGAUCUUUUAACUUGCCCUUCUAAGCUUCAUUUGUUCACUGAUGUAAAUCAUCCUAUCCAUCUAAUCAAUCCCCGCUUGUUUGUUACCCCUUUCUCCCUGUCUGCAAGAAAAUGUCCUUAUUGAAUUUUGUUUUUAAUCAUUGAAGAAAUGAAAGGCAUGGAUUAAAGAAAAUUCCUAGACAAAAAGGGAUUCUACCUUUUAGGAAAGUAUUUUUGUUCAUAUAUAGAGCAGUUUUUGAAUAACGAGUGUUAUGGCUCUUUGAAAAAAAAUAUAUAUAUUUAGAAACUAUUAGAUUAUUCCAUCAAACUUUAACCCUAUGCCAUGGAGUGCUUAUCACGAGGCAUUGUCAUGCCGUGCCAUAUUGCAGCACAUAAAAUGCCAAUCACUAAUUAGCAUGGGGUUGCUGCAAGUUAUUGGCAUGGGGUUUCUGCCGUUGCAAGGAAAUCGUUGUUACAGCAGUAGGAAAAUUUAUUGCAGCUUCUACUAAUUAAUUGGUUGUGCAUGUUUCAUAUAUCAAUCGUUUAUUACUUUAUUAGUUGUGUAUUGAUAUUUAGGUUUGCUUCAACACAUUUUUAUUAUUGAACAUUUGCUGUAUACUCUGUUUUGUAUUAUAUUUCUUUGUAGCUGCCUUUUUCUCUGUUAUAUAUAUCUUGUUUACUGUUUCAGUAGUUGCUUCUGAGUGGAUCUCUUCUACACAGAUUGGUCUGAGAUGGAGAACCGAAAAGGAAGUUAUAUUAGGGAAAGGUAGUCCAUGAGCCCAUAUACCAUAAUCUUCCUCCUUACACUUUGUCUUGUUUCUAAUCAAGAUUUAAUUGAAUUGAUUUGCUAACUUAUAUAAGUGAACUAAAUUAUGCAGUUGAAAUUUGUUGCUUGGAACAAUUUGUCAUUGAAGCAAAUUCAGUUGUUCACUUCUGUUUUUUUCCUUAGGGCAAUUUGUUUCCCAUAAAAAGAGUUUUCUUUGGAAGUAAAAAUUUAAGGUGUCCGACAUCUGGUCGAGUGUAAUAUGAAAUAGUUUUCACAACAUACUUGUUUUGUUUGAAGGAAAAGGAAAAGGAAAAGGUAAAGGAAAACUGUUUCAUUUUUCCUCUUCUUUUCUUUCGUUGCAUGGAAAAGGUAGGAUAUUGAUAUUUCCUAGAAGAAGAGGGUAAUAUGCACUACAUAGUUGAUAUAAGAGAUACCAAAAAAAUAGUAUAUAUAAAUAUAAAUAAAAUUUUUAAUAUUAUUUGUAUCAUCAAAAAGUUGAUUGUAGUACUAUGCUUGCAGAUUAUGUUUCCCAUAUCGUGUAUGUUCUUUUGAUUUUUUUUUUUUUUUUUUCAUUCAUGUUGUUUGCAUCGCUUGAAAUUUCAUAGUGUUAGUUGCCUAACAUGAAGGUGCAUUGAGCUUUUGCCACUCAAUUUCUUUCUUAAUACCAUCUAUACUGCAUUAGCGUCAUAGUAAUAUUGACUUGUUUUGAUAGAUCUAACGUGUUAAAUAACAGGGCAAUUUAUCUGUGGCAACAAGAAGUGUGAUGAGAAAGAAGGCUUAGGAAGCUAUGAGGCAUGCCCUUCCUUUACUUGACUUAAAUCUUGUAGCUGCAGUAUGCCAUCUACCUGUAUGAGCAUUACUGUAUUCUUGCAGAACUAGUUUAAUUUUUUGGAUGUUAUUUCUUGCCUUAGUUGUCAUAAUUUGCUUAAUACUUUAUCUAUUAAUGAAAUGCCAUGUUAAUUCCUUUUUGCUGAGAUGCUCGAGUAAUUGAUAAUGGUCGAGUAUUGAUGAUUUUAGAAGCCUUACCUACCUGUAAGUCUGAUUGUACCAUAUUCACUGUAUUGUAAGAAAUGGACAAUAGAACAUAGAGCAAGUCUCAGUAUGAUCACCAUAUCCAUCGUCGUCUUGGUAAAAUGUUGUUAGACUGUGAAGCUCAAAUUUAAUGCAUGUGACUAGAUGUUUCCUGUGCGUAUGUUCUCAAACUCAUCAAUUUGGAAUUUCGAUAUUCACCAAUUUAUAUGCAAUACACAUAUAAAGAACAACAAAUAAGAGAUUGAAUGAAGAGAUUGAUUCAGUAAUUGAUUAUUAACUUUGUCUUUUUUAUUAUGUUGAAUGUUUAUGAAGGUUCAACAUACUGCAGUUAUGCCUUUUAUUCUCAUUCUAGGAGCAUGUAACUAGUGAUUGAUUUCUUUCCUUUUUGAAUUUUUGUGUCUGUUGGUCUGUUUCAGGUAAAUUUUUCUUAUGUCGAAGCAGGAGAACAAAAACAGGCUCUUGUUAAAUUGGUUGCGUGCAAGAGGUUGGUUCAUUACUUCUUGGCUAGUGUUUGCUUUCUUGUUGGCGUGUUACUUGUCUGUUUGGCAGUUUUUCUGGAGUAACUUUUCCACUUAAGAAGCAGACAACACCCAUUGUUUGGUGACCAAAAAUUUUAGAGCAUCUUGCUUGAGCGGGAGCACCACGUAUUAGUCUUUGGAACCUCGAACUUAAUUCGAUUUGUGUAUUCUGCUUCUGUGUUAGCAAGAAGCUGCUUUAAGGUUUCGAUUGUAAAGCUCUUACGACUUCUCAAACAGCUUUAAUAUGCAGCUAUAUUAUACAAAAUCUCCAGUAGGGUGAAACUGAUCAUAAGUUUGGUACUAAUCAUGCUACUACUACAUGACUUCAGAUUUCUUAUAUGAGACAUUUAAUAAGCAUUUGUGCAUCAUAUUGGAGUUAAUCAUUACCCAGAGGGUUCUUGUGGCCGUUUGAGUGGUUGGCAAUCAUAUAUUUACCCUCCUCAAUUUAGGUGCAUCUGACUGACCAAACAGUAUCAGGCAUUUAAGGGGCUAAGGAAGCCAUAACAUACUCUCUCCAUUGAAUGUGGGUUAUGAAGCAAGUUAACCAGUUGAAGCAUGUUCGAUUUCUUUUCUUUUCCCCUUGUUAUUUUUGGUCAUUAUUCCCUCAUUGCUAGUUAUCUCAGUGGCUUUUUAUGAACUAGAUGACAUUUGAGAGUUUUGAUGGACGAUUGUCUGGAAACUAAGCACCAACCUUUUAAAGUUCCUAUAAAAUUUUCUGAGUAAUGUUACUUCUCAAACCCUUUCAACAUUUGAUCUCUGUAAUACCUAUGGAAUAAGUUGCCCUAGAUACCUAUUCAGCCAAAUAGAAGGUACCGGUUUUUUAAACUAUUAUGCCAAAUAAAGGUACAAAUUUAUCACCAUGUGUUCUACCAAGGUGGCACACACACAUACGGAUACAUAUAUACAAACACAUGUAUAUGACACAAAAGAUGCUUCUCCGGACGCAUUAAGGUGUAUAUUUUUUCACUCUGAAAUUGAUAUUUAUAAACAUUUUAAAAAACAAUCUAAACUGUCGGAUCUACGAACAAAUAAAAUUAUUGCCAUAGAGGAUUAUUUCUGAAAUAUUAUAUAUGUGCAUUGAAUAUACUGAUAGCCUUUUUUGAAACAAAAAAAAUCAAUGUUUGUUCUUUUUCCUGUGUGAGCCGGUCUCAUGGCCCCUAACCUUGAUUAGAUCUGACUCAAUUGCUUGAUUCUUUAGUUGCUUCCAACCGGACUGAGACUUUGAACCUGAUGAAUUGAAAUUCAAUCUAAUCUCCAUUAAACCUCACUCAAACAUUUCUAGACAUGUGAUGAAACUUGCUAAUACAACAUAGAAACCCAAAUCAAAGGGGCCCUAAAACCUAUGUUAUAACUACGAGACUGUUACUAUCUAUCAGAAAACAGUAGCAAGUCUUUUUAUAUGAACCAUUACUACAAGAAAAUUAGCGACAGCGUAGUUGCUUUGUUUCAGAGUUAUGUGGUAUGCACUAUUCUUAUGAGUUGCGAAAGACUUUUGUUUUGUGCAUCUGCUAUACUAUGAAAAAAUUAGCGAAACCAUAGUUUCUUCGUCUCGGCAAUAUGUUUCGCAUCUGAGUUCUUGGUGGCUUGAUAAGGGGUUCCUUGAUACCAUUUUACUUCAACUCUUUACAUUUAUACAUCCCUACUUUCAUGUGCUAUUAGGUCAGAUUCACAUUCUUGCUUGUAUCAAGACUCUUGACAUGUGUACUUAUCAUUAUUGUAGUCUCUAGUAUUGGAUGAAAUUGACAUCCUUUGUUGUAUUUAGAAACAUGUUGCUUCUUCUCUUUUUCAGCAUGGUAUGUGCUAUUGCAAUGACUAAAUUAGUAGUUCUUUAAUUCUUCAAUUGAGAGUUGAUGUAAAUUUUUAGCAAAUCUUUAUCGACAUGCUCUAACAAAUUAUUUGGUUUUGAUGGACUCCUUUCGCAAAGAUGUGCGGAAAAGCUUGUUUAUAGAAGGCAGAAAGAGAAGGAGCAGUCCAAAAGUAAAGAAAAAGAUGGAGACAAGAGAAAGAGGUAGCAACGAAUCUUUUGCUGCUAAUUUAUUUGUUUUCUUUCCCGUGCCCAAAAUGAUGAAAUCAAAUGUCUUUAUGGGUGCGUUUGGUUCGCGCUAUCUUUUUAAGAUUCCUAGUAAUCCAAUAGGAAUAAAAAAAUAUGACGGUGUUUGGCUAAACGCACUAAGUAAUCUAGUUGGUAAUAUUGGAUUUACUUGGGAAUGAGAUGCAUCCCAAAGUACUAAUCUCAUUCCUUUAAGGGAGGGUGGGUAUCUUUAUAUUAAUGGAUUGGGAUAAUUAUAAUAUGUCUAAUAUCUUUCUUUCUUCCUACCCGCUGGCUAGUUGGUAUUGUUUUUCUUUACACUCUAACCUCAUAUCUCUCUCUAAACUUAUCUUUUUCUCUCUAAACUUCAACUCCUUUUCUCUCUCUAAACUAAGCUAUUUCUCUCUCUCUUUUUCAAAAAUCUCAACCCUCUCAUUCUCUCUAAUCUCGACUCUAUUUUUCUUCCUAUUUCUUUAAUUAUGCUCUCUCUUUCUAAUCUAUAUUAUCUCUCUCUUUUUUCUAAAAAGAUGUUGAAAUUUCUUUAUAGUAUUAUUUCAAAUUAAUUUAAAAAAUAAAUAAAUUAAUUCUAUAUUUUUUGUAAUCUUAAAUAACAUUGACUAAAUAAUAUGACCGUACGAACCAAACACCGAAAUACUAUAUUCCUAGUAAUAGGAUGAAUAGGAAUAAAAUUCUCGGAUAUCAUUUUACUCCAAGUAAUCUUUCAUGGUGCGAACCAAAUGCGUCCUAUAAUUGAUCUUUCUUGUUGUUCUAAUGUAGGGAAAGAGAGGGAUCUCAUGAUAGCAAGGAUGAUGUCUACGGCAAAAGUGACGAUAAAAAGAAAAAAGGUUGGGUUUUCUAUGUGCUUCCUUUAUGUGUCAUAUGUUGUUAAAUACUAGUCAAAUCUCCUUAGGAAUCGUUGUACAUGAGUAAGGUAUUAAUAGUUACUAAUUGUGGUUACAGUUGGGGUAGGCGUUUACGGAUGCAAAUCUAACGACUACAUUUUCAUUUUGUGCCAUAUUUUAGUGCACUCCUUGACUACUCUUACUGCUACGUUAUUCAUUUCAAUUAACAUUGUUACUUGUUGUGGUUGCGGUUGCAAUUGCAGUUGCAAAUCUAACGCUGUUCCAAAAUAAAAAAGGGCAUGUGAAUCGCCCUUGUUAGCACAAUGUGACCGGAUAAUCAUAGCAAGGAUUUAAGGGCCGGGGCACGGGGUCGUGCCGGAAAUUUGCCGGCAUGGUGCGUGCCGAGCUGUGCCGAUUUGUGCCGGUCAAAAAAGUUCUUGUGUACCGACACAUAAUAGCAUGAAGUAUUUAUUUUCUUUAGCAACAAAAUAUUCUAACUAUUUAUUACGUCUUUUUAUCACAUCUUUUGAACUCUAUUGAGAAAAUUACUUACUAAUUUAAAGAAUAGAGGGUUUGGAGUUGUGCCAUCGGCACGGGGUCAAUAUCGUGCCGUUGUCUUGUUGGCACGGUACGGCACGGUGGAUACGGCCCGUACCGACGGGCACUUCAAACCUUGAAUCAUAAUUUCUAAGGAAAAAUUAUUAUUGUUAUUGGCAUCAAUCUGGAAGUAGACUUCUAUAAAGUUUCCUUGAUUGUUGGUUAUACCGUUGUAAUAUUGUCUUCCAGGACUAGUUCCAACUUCCAAUUCCUAUAUUAUUUGAUGAUAUUAGGAGAUGGCUUUUCAUUUUGUCGAAAGCUGGUCAUGGAGAUCUUACUAUUUUCUCUUUACACAGUAACAAUUACAUACUUGUAGAUCCGCAACCUUCUCCUUUCGUCAAGUAGACAAAAACCUCUCUAAUUUUUAUGAAUGAAAAUAUUGCAGGUGAAAAGGAUGCUUCAGCAAGCGGUGGCAAUGACGAGGAUGAAAACUUUGAGGCGUAUCUGGAGGGAAUGUUUCCGUGAUCGGUUGUACUAAUAUGUGAGUUGAUGCGACAACCCGUUAAUAUUUUCUCCUGUACAUAGUAAACAAUCAUUAAGAAGCAGAAUUUCGAUUCACUAUAUGAACAUGUAAUUUAGUAGUAGUGUAGACCUUUCACAAUAGGGAUUUUGUAUUAUUUGAUUUAGUUGUCGGUGCCGCAGAUCUUGUACCUGUACCCAUUAGCUGAAGCUGAGAAAAAUAUAAACCAACAUUGCAAGAAAUUGCGAUUGUGUUUGUGCUGCUCUUUUUGUCAGUCUUUUAUGCAUUCAUUUUGGAAACCUAAUUCACUCCCCUGCAGCCAUGACAAGCAUGAUUGUCUUAAUUAAUAAUUAUUAAUAAUAAUAUUGAAAUGGCUAAAAUUCAAUGUUCCCUUCUAUAGUUCAAAAAUUAUAUUUAAUUAUUCUGUAGUUUUAUAUUUAUUUCAUCGUAAGGACUUAUAGUUAAAUAGGGAUAUUUUCUUUGCAAAUCAUAGGAUGAUGUAAUAUAACAUUUUAUAAUUCUGUGAUGCACACUUUAUUUAUUCUAUAGUGUGCACUCUGCAAAAACUAUCACCUUACUAUAUAUAUGUUCGGAGUUUAGUGUAGUGAAAUUGACGUGCGGUGUAAGAAACUUCAUCUAUUUCUAAGGACUCAAGAAUUUCAAUGUUUUUUUUUUUUAAUUUUUUAUGAUAAGACUUGUGAAAGAGGGCUGCGUAAUUGUAAAUUGUUUUUUAUCAUAAGACUUUUGAACUGAAGGUAGGUUCCAUUAGGCUUGAUUUGGAGUAUUUAAAGUAUUUAAAAAUUAAAUUUUAUAAUUUUUCGAUAUUAUUUAUCAAGUGAUUAAAAUGUUUCAAAAUUGAUAACUAAAGAUAAAAAUCUCAAAAAAAAGUGAUGAUAAGGUUCUAAAAUUUUAGAUUAGAGAUAUUGAUCCUUCGUUAGAUAGCUUAAAUAGUUUUUUAUUAAAAUUUAACCUAAUUUGGAUAUUUCUGAAGGAUCAAAUGGCAACUAAGAGGGGGGGGUGAAUUAGUUGAAAACUAAAAACUCAAGUAAAAUUAAAUCAAGAUAAAAAUUGCACAACCAAAUAAAAGAAGAAAAUGAAACUCAGAUAACACAGAUGAUUUAUCCUGGUUCGGCCCUUCUGCCUACUCCAGUCCGGUCCUUCUUCUCCUCGAGGUACCGAUUUCACUAUCACUUGGCCUUUUGAAUAGGGCAAGACCAAAGCCGCUUACAAUCACACAAAACUUCUUUUACAAUCUCUCAAGAAGCUCACAAUUACAAAUCAAUGAACAAUUAGGACUUAGAGAAUUUUUCUGAAGUUGUGUCACAAACAACAUCCAAGCCCCCCUUUAAAUACACUAGCCAUCAUUUCAAAAAUGGAACAAAAGCAUAAUUAAAUUAUAAUUGAUUUCAAUUUGAAUUUUAACCAUAUUUGCAAAUGCAUUUGAAUUAAUUCCAAAAUAAAUUCGAAUUCAUACCACAUUUGCAAAACAUUUGAAAUAUUACUAUAUUGAAAAGCUCAUUUGAAAUUAUACUAAAUUUAUAAAAUUCAAAUUCAUACCACAUUUGCAAAACUCAUUUGAAAUAUUACUAUAUUUUUUAAAUUCAUACUAUAUUAAAAUCAAAUUUGAAUUUAUACCAUACAUAAAAUCACUUUCAUACCAUAUUAAAAUAAUGGCUAAUUUGACAUUAAGCUCAAAUCAAACCCAAAGGUGAAUUGGUCAACUUGACUAGGUUGACCGGCUCAAAUCCGAUAAAUUGUAAAGAAGUCCUCCAAAUUUUUGUUGUGGCACUUGUAUCCAAUUUGGUACAAUUUGAUCUUGUCCAGGCCAAUUUGAAUAAUUUGAUUGAAUUGUUACCUUUGAUCAAUUCCGGUUCAGCUUGAGCCACUUUAAAUUUAACUAUAACCUGAAAUUGCUAAAUGACAAAUUAAAUCCAAUAUUUGUUUGUUAUCAUCAAAAUUUAUUAUUGGAUAAAAUCCAACAAUUCCUACACCUUUAAAUUUUAAAAUAGUUCAUACUUAUUAUUAAAAUUAUCAAUUUUGAGCCAUUUUAGUUAAAAAUAAAUAAUAUAUAAAAAUUUUAAAAUUUAUUUUGUAAAUCUAAGUAUUCUAGAUCGAGUCUAAUAGGCCCGAACGCUGAUUUGGAAAUCUCAUUAUUAAAAAUAAUUUGGAACUACUGCGGCCAUCGAAAGUACGUAAGCCUAGUUCUCUCUCUCUCUCUCUCUCUCUCUCUCUAUAUAUAUAUAUAUAUAUCUAUUAUUGAUACAAAGUAAAAUUUUUAGUAGGCAUCAUAGUAACGUAGAUUAUUUUACAUAGAAAUUUAUUUUAACAUGAUCAACUGAUCAUACAUACGACAUUAUUCACCUUGUCUAAUCCUGUAAUUAGGGAAAGAGCUCAAUUAUGGAGUGUGGAUCACCGUUCAAAGGAGUAAUUUUGUAGUUUGCAAACCCUGCUUUGCUAAAAAUUUUUCGCCACUCGACUUCGUCGCGCUCCUUUCCGCCGAGGCCUGUCAUCAUAAGAAUAUCAGACAAGAGCCCCAUUUCAUUUUUCUGGGGGUCGUCGCCGAGCGUAUUUAUCACUACAUCCACAAUUAUGACUUUUCCGCGUUCUCCUCCGUUAGCAGAAAUUGCUUUCUUACAUUGCUUCAGAAUCUUCGCGCAGUCCUCGUCGCUCCAGUCGUGAAGAACAUUCUGUGUUACACAUUUCAUCAGAUCUUUUGUCAGGAUCAAAUACAAAUGUGACACCAAUAUUUUUUGAUUGGGCACACGUGGUAUUUGUAAUUCAUAAAAAUCAAUGUACGAUUAAUUGCGAAAAAUAUUUGUUUAGGGUUUAGGGUUUAGGGCGUGCGCGCGUGUGUAUAUAUAUAUAUAGAGUGAGCUGGUAUGCUUAUAGAAGCACGGAGCCCUUCGUGCUUUCAAGUUGUUUUUGAUGUUCGGAUUUUCGAAUCGACGAUCGGCUCCGGCAUAGUUGAUCUAGAGUAUUUGAAGUACCUAGAAAAUAAAUUUUGUGAUUUUUCGAUAUCAUUUGCCUGGUGAUCGAAGGGGCUCAAAAUCAAUAAUUUUAACGGCCGUGGUGAGCUGGUUGCAACUUUAACGGUGUAGAAAUAUCCAAAUCAUAUGAAAUUUUGAUAGAAAAUUCUUUAUACCAUAUAAAACAAGAUCAAUAACAUUGUUCUAAAAUUUUAAUGUCAUAUCAUCAUAUUUUAUAAGAUUUUUAUUUUCAGCCGUUGAUUUUGAGCCACUUCGAUCACUAGGCAAAUGAUAUCGAAAAAUCGCAAAAUUUAUUUUCUAGAUAGCUUCAAGAUCAAGUCUAACGGAGCCGAUCGUCGAUUCGAAAGUCCGAACAUCGAAAACAAAGUGGAAGAAGAGCGCCUCCGUACUUCCAUAAGCAUCCUCAGCGCACUCUCUCUCAGUACUCCUAGCUUCGAGGUCUCAUUCCCGUCUUUCUUCCUUCUUCGUCUCAGUCCUCUCUUCUCUCUUCUGCUCUAUAUAUAUAUUAUAUAUAUAUAUAUAUAUAUAGCAGGGCUGCUAUGCUUUCAGGAGCACGGAGGCCUCCGUGCUCCUGAGCCGUUUUCGAUGAUGAAUUUUCGAAUCGACGAUCGGCUCCGUUAGACUUGAUCUAGGGUAUUUGAAGUUUCUAGAAAAUAAUUUUUGCGAUUUUUUGAUAUCAUUUACCUAGUGAUCGAACGGAUUCAAAAUCAAUAAUUUUUAAUGGUUGAUAUAUGUCGUUUUCCAGUUUAACGGUGUAGAAGUAUUCAAAUCAGAUAAAAUUUUGAUACAAAAUUCUUUAUACUAUCCACGACAAGAUCAAUAUUUCUGAUCGAAAAUUUUAGUGCUAUAUCACCACUUUUUAUAGAAUUUUUAUUUUCAGCCGUUAGAUUAUACUAUUCAACAAACCACCCAUUCAACCCUAGGAAACCCACAUCAAUCUAACCACACAUUUCUCAAUCCAAGGGCUAAAAAACUGAUAGCACCAAGCCUUUGGUGCUAUCGAUAGUAUUCCAGCCUAAUUCUAUAUAUAUAUAUAUAUAUAUAUAUAUAUAUAGAGAGAGAGAGAGAGAGAGAGAGAGAGAGAGAGUUCUGCUACUAUCCUCUUAUGAAUACAAUCACUCUCGUAUUUAUAAGCCAUUUUUCGAUGAUAGAGCUUUCAAAUCGACGAUUCAUACCGUUAAAUAUUAUCUAGAGCAUUUAAAACUUCUAAAAAUCAAAUUUCAUAAUUUUUCGACAUUAUUUACCUUACGAUAAAAAUGUCACAAAAUUGAUAAUUUUUAACAAUUGGUAUGAGGUACUUGCUAGUUUAGUAAUGUGAAAGAGUUAGAAUAGGUUGAAUUUUUAAUAAAAAAUUUUAUUCACUAUCUAGAUAAAGAUCAAUAAUUCCGAUCUUAAAUUGAAAGAUCCGAUCAUUUAUUUUUCGGACGUCGUUCGAUUUUAACCGUUCAUUUUAUGCCUGUUUGAUAGAUUUUAUUAUAAUUUCAAAAAAUUAUGAAAUUUAUUUUUUAGAAAUUUUAAAUGCUUUAGAUUAUAUUUAAAAGAGCGAAUCGUCGAUUCGAAAGUUCCAUCAUUGAAAACAACUUAUGAGUACGAAGGGCUCUCUACUCAUAAGAAUAUAGUAGCCCUACUCUCUCUUUUUCUCUUUCUUUCUCUCUCUCUCUCUAUAUGUAGAGAGGCUGGAAUGCUUCUAAUAGCACCAAAUUAUUGGUGCUAUUAGAUUUUCGAUCCUUGAAUAAAGGGAUGUGCUGUUAGAAUGAUAGUGAUCCUCUAGAGUUGAGUAGAUGGUUGGUUGAAUAGUAUGAUUUAUCCUAGAGUAGAUUGUUGGUUGAAUAAUAUGAUUUAACGGAUAAAGAUGGUCAAAAGAAAAAUCUAACGAUUGCAAACUUGGUAGCACCAAGUGUUUGGUGCUAUUAGAAGCACCCCAAUCGGACUCUCUCUCUCUAUAUAUAGCUGAAUUCAAUAAUUAUUUCUAAUUUUGUACUUAUUUAAAAUAAUGAUAAAAUAUAGAAAGGUAAUUGAACUAAUUUUUAAUGCAAGGAUAGGAGGGACAGAGCCUAGAGUGCGAGGAAUUCUACACUGUCACACUUGCACCACGUCAUCAAUAACAAGCCAAUCACAUUCCUUCUUUUCAAACAAAAGUACAAUAAAAAUACUUUUUUACAAUCAUGAUGGGACAUAUAUUCUUAAAAGGAUUAAUUUGAUUGGUUUGUUACGCCACGUUACUAAUAUACCCGUUGCAUUCUAGAAUUUUUCCUAGAGUGCAAGAUAUUUUUUUCUCUAAUUUUGCUUCUCUUUCUUUCAAAACAGUGGUACUGCUUUCAUAUUUUUUAAAUUAAUUUUGAUGAUUAAACAUCCAAAUCAACGAUUGGCACUACUAAAGUUAACUAAAUUAUUUAAAGUAUUUAAAAAAUAAUUUUUUUAUUUUUUAAUAUUAUUUAUCUAGUAAUUCAAAGAAUUCAAAAUAAAAAAUUUUAGUGGUCCAUACGAGCUAUUUGUAAGUUUAAUAAUAUAAAAAUAUUUAAAUUAUGUGAAAUUUUGAUAUUUUUUUUAUACUAUUUAAAAUAAGAUCAAUAUCUUUAAUCUAAAAUCUUAAUAUUGUACAUUAUAUUUUAUGUGAUUUUUAUGUUUAAUCAUUGAUUUCGAGCCCUUGCAAUUACCAAGUAUAUGAUAUCAAAAAAUUACGAAAUUAUUUUCUAGUUACUCUAAAUACUCUAUAUCAUUUAUAGCGGAACUGAUCAUGGAGUUAGAAAUUUUACCAUUGAAACAACUUCGGAGUAUAGAGGUUUUUGUACUUCUAAAAUUAGAUCGGUUGAAAUUUAUAUUUGUAAAUGUAUGCUUAUCAAAAUUUUACUUAUAAAACUAGACCUACAUCCUGCCAUAUGUCAUUUAUGUUUUAAAAUACUAAAAAUGAUUAAUCAGAUUCUCCAGACAUAACACAAGACGGUUAAUUAAUUCAAGUGAUAUUAGAUUCACAACUCAAAUGGCAAAAGACUUGGUGGUCGGUACCCGAGACUCAAGUUCGAAUUCUAGUUGAUUCACAUUUCUAGUUAAGUUUAUUUCAAAAUGAAAUAAACGAAGCGGGUAGCGUGCUACCUAUCUCUCUCAAAAAAAAAAAAGAAAAAAGAAAAAGAUAUUAGAUUCACAACUCAUGGACUACAUCUCCAACUAGACCAUCCCAAAUUCAACAGAUUGAUAGGCAUAUCAGAAUGGUGUAUCUCGAGUAUUGGUAAGUUUAUUAGUCUAUAUUUUGUGUUUUGUGGAUUACUAUUAUCUUUUUUUCUUUUUCUUUUUUGAAUAGAUAUUAAGGGUUUAAGUUUAUGACUAUCUCGGUACCUUUUACCGUGAUCAUAUGUGUGUAUAAAUAAAUAUUAAUAAAUUAGAUCAAAAAUUGUAUAUGUCGAGCUCCAAUAUAGCUAAAUUGAUGCGCAUAUGGGCCGAAAAAAUUUGAUAGCCAAUGACUUGGUGCUAUUAAUAGUAUAUUAACCUAGUUCUAUAUAUAUCGCAUAGUAUUCUAGCUCAAUCUAUAUAUAUGUAGAUAUAUAGAGUUGAGCUAGAAUACUAUCGAUAGCAAACAGACUUUUUGGCCACACAUUUGUUUUUGAUGAUGGAGCCUUCGAAUCGACGAUCGGCACCCGUUGAACAUGAUCUCUAUACACUUGAAGUGUUUAGAAAUCAAUUUAAAUCUUUUCGACAUCAUUUGCCUAAUGACAAAGGUUUCAAAAAUUUUAAUUUAAUGGUCGAUAUGAGACGUUUUCUCGUUUAACCGGAUAAAGAUAUCCAAAUCAAAUUGUUUUUUGUUAGAAAAUUCUUUAAACAUUUUUAAAUAAGAUCUAUACUUUUGAUCUUGAUUACAAGACUCCUAUCAUCAUUUUUUUGAGAAUAUUCAUACUCAGCGGUUCAUUUUGGUCCCUCGAUGGAUAAGAGAACAAUAUCGAAAAAUGUAAUUGAAUUUGAUUUCUAAAUACUUCAAAUGAUAUAGAUCAUGUUCAACAGUACGAUCAUCAUAUUGGAGGCUCAUAUCGAAAUAAAUGGUGGCAAAAAACGAUUUGCUAUCGAUAGUAUUCUAGGCUCAACCUUUAUAUAUAUAUAUAAUUAUUAUAAUUUUGUGUAAUACUAAAUACAAAGGACAAUACUAGGUCUAUAGUUUACUUUGGAUUGUAAUCAUACAAUUUUCUAGUUCACAAAGUCCUUUCUUCUUUACUUGAUCUUACCAUUUUCUUUCUCUACAACUAACAAAGAAUUAAUAAACCCUACAAGGCUUGGAUGAAGGUUUUUUUUUUUUUUUUUUUUUUUUUUUUUUUUUUUUAAUUUUUGGCGCGGGGGGGGGGGGGGGGUGGUGUGUCUCUGCUUUUCGUACUGUGUAGGGUAGAGUUGAGCUAGAAUACUUUAAAAUACCAGAGGGUGGUGCUUGUGACUUUUUACCCUGGAUAGAGAAAUGUAGGUUGAGAAUGAUGGUGGUAGGAUGUGGUAGGUGUGGUAGGUGGAUAGUGUUUGAUCCAAAGGGCUAUUAGUAAUCAAGGAGUAUAUCCAAGGGCUAAAACUAAUAGCACCAAAGGAGUGAUACUUGUAAAAGUAUUCUAGCUCAAUUCUAAUAUAAUUAUAUAUAGAAUUUUGUGUAAUACUAAAUACAAAGGACAAUACUAGGUCUAUAGUUUACUUUGGAUUGUAAUCAUACAAUUUCUCUAGUUCACAAAGUCCUUUCUUCUUUACUGAUCUUACCAUUUUCUUCUCUACAACUAACAAAGAAUUAAUAACCCUACAAGGCUUGGAUGAGAGUUUUUUUUUUUUUUUUUUUUUUUUUUUUUUUUAUUUUUUUUUUUAUUUUUUUUUUUUUUUUUUUUUGGCGGGGGGGGGGGGUGGUCUCUGCUUUUCGUACUGUUAGGGGGGUGUUAAUUAGACUUAGUAUUCCUCUUUUGAAAGAAGAAAGCUCUGAAAAUUAAUCUUACCUUGAGGAGCACCGCACCGGCCGGUGGAAUGUACUCAAACAUGUCGCCGGCGACCGCGUCGAUGAGCUCGCUUUUGGGUGCGGCGGCCACGACGUGCGGGAGCUCGAGGACGGUGCACUUCACCUCCGGAAACGCCUCGGCGAUCAUCUUGGCGGUCAUGCCGGUGCCGCCGCCGACGUCAACCAGCGACCCGAUCCCGCGGAAGACCUGCGGGCAGCACGCCACCGCCGCCGCCGUCGUCUGCCUGGUCUUGCACGCCAUCGCCUCGUUGAACAGCCUGCCCAUGUGCGGGCGCUCCUGGGCCACCUUCCACAAGUUCCUCCCGCCGUGCGCCGUCUCAAAUGCAUUCAUAUUCGCACCUUCCUGCGUCAGCCACUCGCUCAUGCGGUACAUCGGCUUCACCAUGUCGGGCUCCAAGCAGGCCCGCACGUACGCGCUCAUGUUCGGGCUGCCGUCAUCGGCGGUGACGAGGAGCCGCGAGAAGGGCGUGAGGAGGUAGCCAAUGCUGCCGUCUCCGUCGUCGUCGACGCCGCUGUCGCCGAGAGCCUGCACGGCGAAGACGCCCUGCGCGGAGAGAAGGCGCAUGAGGCGGCGGAGCAUCGGCUGCUUCUCGAGGGGCACGGGAAUGGAGAGCGCGAGGGCCGGGAGAGGCAUGGGCUCGCCGCCGUAGGCGUGGAUGCGGUCCGGGAUGCGGAGGUCGACAGCGCACUUGAGGGCGAAAGGGCCAACGAUGCUGAUGAUUCGGUGUUCAAUCGUCGACUGGACGACCAGCAGCUGGUCGUCGGUGAUCUUCAUCUCGCCUUUGCCGGGCUCCAUUUCUAAUCUAUAGAUUGUUUGGAUUCUUAAUUACUUGGAAGUGGUGGAGGAUAUAGAGGCUUUAGGCUUGCCGGUAAAUAUAUAGUGCUUUCGGGGGAUAGAACACUACCAAUCAACCAUUCAAAAUAAAAUUACAAUGAGAGUAGAGAAAUGUUAACUUCAAAACUUAGUCUUAUAUAAUUAUGAUUCGGCAAAAAAUUCAAUACUGGUAUGACAUAAAUAAAAUUUGUAUUCCGAAUUUUAAAUUCGUUGAAAAAUACGGUUUAAAAAACAGAUUCGCCAAUUAUUUGGAUACACAAUUAUACGAAAAUUAUACGUUUACCAAUUAAAAAUUUGGUACAAAAAUUCGGCUGUUAAAUUAAAUAUUUUUCCCUCGAUUUAUGAUACUACCGUAAAUAGUUAUAGCUCUUAAGAAUAUAAUAAUAAAGAGCUACAAAAUAAAAUAGAUUAAAUAAGAAAAAAUAAUAGUGUAGUUUAUUAUCAUUCCAUAUACUCCUGUAGCUCAUCAUGUUUUUUAAUAAUUCGCCAAUAAUUCGACAAUAAUUCGCAAAUAAUGAAAAAAUGGUCUUAUUUAAAAAUUUUGCGCGUUUUUUUCGCUGAAUAUUUUGGUAUUCGCGAAUUAUUCGUGAAUAAUAAAUCUAAGAUAAAAAAUUAUAUUUUAUUUUGAUUUUUUAAAAAUAAAUCACAUACGAAUUGUUUUAUUUAAAUUUUCAAUAAUCGACAAAUUAACUAUCGACUACCGUGGUUGCAAUCUCUUUCAGAACGAUGCCUGGAAAUUUUCUGGACACAAAUUUAGGAGACAGCAACGUUGUACGUACACUUCCCUCACAUGUGGUUCUUACAUUGGCCAUAACUAGAAAUAAUUGACUGAUCACGCCAUAUUCGCAUUCAUAGGUAGCAUUUUUCAAAUCUAAUUAAAUCUCAUCACUAUCCUAUUGAAAAGGUUGGAUUUAAGAUGCUAUAUACUAUUCUCAAACAAAUCAACUUCUCCGUACAUUAAACUUUUGCAAACUAGUCCCUCAACGAAGAGAAUUUACUGUUAAAUCCCCUCUCAAAUUUAAGUACACGCACCUGCUGACUAAAUAAUAUCAAACAUUUAAGGGGCUAGAGAAGUUAUAUAUAACAUCCUCCCUUGUUACGACGAAAAUCGAAAAGAUCUAAUUUGCCAGAAGCGAAAAUAUCAAAAAAAAUCCGAAAAAGAGAGAAGAAAAAUAAAACAUAUAAUAUUUACGUGGUUCGGUCACCGGUUUAUAUCCACGAGCGAAAACGAAGCAAAAAUCUUCAUUAUAAUCAAAAUGGUGUAUAAAAUAUACCUCUCUCGUAAAAUCCUAACUCCAAAAAUGCACUCAUAUUCUCUCUCUCAUCUGCCGCACCAAAUCAAUGGAAUAAAAGAUAUAUUUAUAAUAGUGGCUAAAUUCUAAUAUGAUUAGAAAUACAAAUUCACUAAGACUAGAAAUAUCUUAAUUAUAUUAGGUAUAAUCUAUAUUUAACUUAAUGAGAUAAUAAUCAAAACAGAAAAGAGUUAAAAAAUCUUGAGAUUUUAGAAUUUGAGACAUAUCUAAUAUCCCUCUAGUAUAUUGUCGAAUAUGGGUAAUGAAGUUGUCUGCCCAAAAGAAACAAAAGUAAAAUCUAUUUUAUUAAUAAAAAGAGAGACUGACCGUCCCCAGAGCAAGUGGCAAAGGACUUGGUGGUUGGUACCCGAGACCCAAGUUUGAAUCCUAGUUGAUUCACUUUUUCAGCUAAAUUUAUUUCUAAAUGAAAUAAACGAAGCGGGUAGCGUGCUACAUAUCUCUCAAAAAAUAAAAAUAAAAAUAAAAAUAAAAAGAGAGCUAUUUUGGAAUGAGCCCCAAGCCUUUCAGCUUGGAUUCGCCGCUGUGACUUGCUCUCUUUAAAGUAUGCUAGGUUCAACUACUUAGUUUGGACUAAACUGGGCUAUGUUUUAGCACGGAACUGGAAAUUCCAAAGAUAUAAGAUUUCGGCCUAAAUCUUCGGAUGGUUGAAACAUCAGAAAAGUAAACUACUAAAACUAUUAGAACUAUUACCGAUCGUCCCUAGAGCAAGUGGCAAAGGGUUUGGUGGUUGAUACCCGAGACGCAAGUUCGAAUCCUAGUUGAUUUACAUUUCUAGCUAAGUUUAUUUCUAAAUGAAAUAAACGAAGCGGGUACCGUGCUACCUAUCUCUCAAAAAAAAAAAAAAAAAACUAUUAGAACUAUUGCUACGAUUUUCGGCUGGAAUUAGAAAAACCUAACAAGUCUACUUUCAGUAUGAAGAAUAAAACUACUAUUUUCUAAAUAGAAUAGCCUUAGGCAUUGGACUCGUGGAAGUAAAGCCUUUUCCUUCAUCUUUUGUGUAGUAUUUAUAACUCCAUGCAUGUCCUGAUUUCGAGUCUGAUAAUAUCUAAUAAGAUGUAAUUUAAUAUUUGAUUUAUUUUGUCAUUUAGUAGCUCGUACUAACUACAAUAAGUAUUUUGCGAAUAAAUUAUUGAGUUAUUUUCUAAAGUUAAUAGUUUUGAUCACUUGUUAGCAACUAAAAACUAGAAUACUUCAUAACUAACUAGUAAAGAUAUCCGCAUGUUACGGCGGAUUGAUUUUAAAAAUAUAAUAAUUAACGAAAAUAAUGCAGUAAUCAGUUUCUGUACAACAGAAAACAAAAAGGAGUAAGAAAAAAACUAUCUCGAUAUUUUUACACAAAUAUAAAAUAGCAAGUAAAGGUUAUAAAAUUUAUAGAUCUGUUAAAAUAUGAAAUCUUAAUCGAUAAAUAAAAUAAAUAAAUAAGAGUCAUCCGCUAGCAAUUUAAUCUUCUAAAGUGACUUUGAACCCAAAAUAUCUGUUUAGUCAUCUUCAUAAAUUUCCAGCCAAGUUGUAUCUAGCGAGAGAGUGCAUUGCAUUGUAGUGGAUUGCACUAAGCGUAAUAAAGAAUCCAUAAAAUUACCUCACUCCCUAUAAUAGAAGCCCUCUAUUGUUGGUAUUGAUAUAAAAAAUUCUUAUUAGUACCUUAUUAUAAUAUUCAAUGUGAUCUAAUUAGCUGCAUGAUUUAACAGUAUAUGCCACUGGUUGUGCAUAGUACUUCGAUCUCACUUUCACUUCUUCUAGACGAUUACUUGUAAACAAAAGAAAGAGAAAUUUUUUUAAAGAAAGAUUAGAAUACCUUGAACAAAACAAAAGGAUCAAAAUGAUCUUCUUAGAAGUAAAUUUCAUAAAAUUUUUAUGAUUUUACAUUGGUUGCUAUUUAUUGGAUGUAUCUUUAUAUUCGUAAACAAAAAUAAAAGCUUGUUUUUCCAAUGGCUUAAGAAGAAUUUAAAAGAAAUAAUUACUGCAGUAUUCAUGGAGUGCAAGAAAUGUGAUCACUGUCAAAAGCAAUAGCGCUGAAGAAAAGGAGCAAUAGAACAAAUUCGACAACUUUACAAUAUUCACAACUUUAAUGCCAUUGUAAGAAAACAUCAAUCUUUUGUUAAGUGUAUUAUUCGGUUGUUUCUUAUUGUUGAAUACAAAAUUUAAUAAUUUUAUGAUGGUAUCAAUGCAGGAUGUCAUAAAUCUGAGUCUUGCCAGGUUCAUAGUAUUGUUAUUUUUUUUUUAUUUAUUCAAGCCAUGUCUUGAGUCUAAACAUUAAAGGGGCUAUGUUGAAUAUAAAAUAUAAAACCGCUUUCUAACAAAAGAUUUUCGAGGACAAUAAUUGCAAGGGAUAAUAUCCUAUAUACUCCUUAUACGUUUGAAAAUAUCCGAUUUGUUCCUACUUUUUUUUCUUUCUAAAAUACCUCUCAUAUGUUCCACCGUUAUUGCAAAAUACCCUCGCAGUUAUCUCCUGUUAAGUUAACUUGGGUUAAACAUGAGUUAAAUAUCUACCACAGUUAAAAAAAUUAAAACGCCAAUUUUGCAUUUAACUUAUUUUGUGCCCCUGACUUUAAGAGCAAAUAAGAAAGACAAUGAUAGUGAAAAGGUAUAUUUGAAAGGGCAAAAUAGUAAUUUUACAGAGAUAAUAUAGUUAAUUAACAGAUUUUAACUCUAGAGGUAUAUUAGGAAUAGGUUGAAACGUAGGAAGGGUAUUUUCAAUAUUAGCCUUCUAAAAGGGGUAAAUCGGAAAGUCAGAAACUUUUCAGGGGUAUAUAAGUAAUUGCCCCUAAUUACAAAUAAAACUAUGGUAUCUGAUGCAAUGGUAAACUAUUAUCUAAUGCAGUAUCUUCUAUAACAUAAAUUCUCAUUUGUUAUAUUAUCUAUAAAUUUAGCGUACCACAGUUUUGUACGAACAAAGAUUUACUCAUAAAAUAAAAUAUUUAAUUUAAAUCCCGACUCAUACCAAGAAAGAUGAUUAAUAACUAAAUAAAUCUAAUUCUAUCAUCUUACCGAGACUUGAUAUCCUUUAAUUUAUAACCGCAGGCAAAAUCGCCGACACCUCCGCCGAUCAUUGCUGCUUGAGUGCUCGUCGAGGAACCUCUACCUCACAGAGUAGCAAAGUUCAAAAUCCAAAAGGGUGUUAUAGAGCCCCGAGAUCUCCACGUAAUUGAACCCAGAUGCUAAAUCCACACUAAUUAAAAUUCUCAAGUCGAAUUGGACAUCGGAUGAGGCAGCGAAGGAGGAUGGGGUUUGAGAGGAGGCGAGGAAGGCAGUGCCUCUACCGCAGCCGACAGAGAUGUGACCGUGGCGAGGGGCGGAAAUUUAGUCUAACGUUUUGGUAGUGUAAUAUGCAUGCUCUUUGCAAAGAAACAUCAAUUAACUAAUAUGAAAUCCCAUGCAUGUUCUAUUGUCCACGUGGCGAUAUUAUCUUGAUUUGAAUUUUUGUGUGACCUACCUGUCAAACUAAUAUAUUUUGCUUAAUAUAAUUUUCAUUUAAUUGGCUAAGAGAUUUUUCAAAUUCUCUUUUGUGGGUCUCACCUAUCAUCUUAAUUAAUUAUAGACUUUUGUGGAAACCCAACUGUCAUAUUAACUUAUUUGCCCAUGGGUCCCACUGUCAGUUUAUUUUUCUCAUUCUCUUUCCAUUUAAUUGUUUCAGAGACUUUUCAUUCCACCUUCAUCUCUAGGGUCGCUUCGACUCCCGAGUAGCGACGCUUCGUUCCAACGUGUCGCAAUAAUUGUUUGGAUUCAUCUCAUCGAAUAUAUCUAUUUGCCGAAUCUGAAAGGCCAUCUAACGUUUAAUGCGGUAUUUCCCGCUGCCUUUUUUUUUUGUGCGGCAUAACAUCUCCACUCCUCUGCCAGUUUUCACUUUUUCUCUGAUUUGGUUUUCACCUUUCAUUCAUGUUGUAAUUUCAAUUUGUGUACUUAUUAUUUUUUUCUCAGAAAAUACUAAAUACUUUUAUUUUCUCUCAGAAAAUUUAUUGCUUCUGGCUGCAACAAUUAAUCAUAUUAACAGGUUCCUUUUUACUUUGAAUUUGAUCUUUUAUUUCUUUACUCCAAUUUUUCUAUUGUAUAUUAUAUUUUAAAUUAAUAUUAAUCUUUUUUAUUAUGAAUUUUUUACCUCUGUAUCUACAAUUGAUUGUCUCAGAUUUUUUAAGUUUCUUGGCCUAAUUUUUAUGUAUAUACUUAUUUUUUUUUGCAUAUUAUUUUACGCUGUUACAAGUGUAAAAUUCGUUGUAUCUAUGGUUGCCGCUGCUGCUGUUUCUUCAAUUGCUUCUGCUUUUUUUUUUCUUAUUCAAUUUUUUUUCUCUUAUGUAAUUACUAUUUCUUCUUUCUUUACCUUUUUUCACAGGAUAUUAAAUAUUUCUUUAAGUUAUUUAUACAUCAAAAUUUUUUUUUCUUAAGAAAAGAAUUUUAGUAUAAAAACGCAAGUUAAAUAUUGAAUAUUAUCUACUCGCAACAUCGUGCGGGUCACUGCACUAGUUAUAAUAAGCUUUACCAUGCACAGUUUUAUGUUUAUAGUUGCAGGUCUCAAAGGCAAAAUCAAGUUCAAAGUUAAGAAUAUAUAUUUCUCCUUAUCAACCACUUCCAACCAUUAAGACAAACAAAUAUUAAGAUAUUGUUUACACUGGCCUUUCCCUUUUAGUCUCCUAAAGGCUAUAUAAUAUCAUGUAAAAAUAUUAAUAGUAAAUAUAAAGAAACAAAAGAGAACACUCUUCAAGUUAGGGAUAAAUGUAUAUUUAUUUAUAUAAAUAUAUCUGAAUUUUAAUGGAUCCUUCCGAGUCAUCAAUUUUACUUUUUUGUAUAUUUAUUUAUAUAAAUAUACCUGAAUUUUAAUGGAUCCUUCCCGGUCAUCAUUUUUACUUUUUUGAGAGAAAAAAAAGAUUGUUUGUAUGCAAGAAAGGUUAGAAUUUCUAGAAAUCAAAUUUACAGCAUUUAGAAAAUUCUAAAAAUUAAAUUUUUUAAUUUUUUGACAUUAUUUUACUUUACGAUCUAAAGAUCUUAAAAUUAACAACUUUUAACGUGCGGUAUGUGAUGCUUACUAAUUCAACGGUGUAAAAAAAUCAAAAUUGGCUGAAUUUUUGAUAGAAAAUUCUAUUCACUAUCUAAAUAAAGACCAAUAACUCUGAUCUUAAAGAGGACGUUCAAUUUUGACCGUUCAUUUUAUGCCUUCUUGGUGGAGUUUAAUAUAACUUUAAAAAAACUACGAAAUUUAUUUUUUAAGAGUUUCAAAUACUCCAGAUUAUAUUUAAGAGUUUCAAAGUUCCAUUAUAAAAAAUAACUUAUAAGCACGAAAGGGUGUAUACUUAUAAUAUAUAUAUAUAUAUAUAUAUAUAUAUAUAUAGAGAGAGAGAGAGAGAGAGAGAGAGAGAGAGAGAGAGAGAGAGAGAGAGAGAGUUGGGUUAAAAUACUCGUAAUAGUAUCCGACUAUGGAUACUAUUAAGAGUAUCUAUAGUCGGGAUGAAAAAUUGCAAGGUUGGGAUGAUAGUGAUCCCUUAGAGUUUAGUGGUGGUUUCCUAGGUUUUAGUAGGUGGUUGCUAGAAUCGCAUGAUCUAAAGAAUGGAAUUGAUCAAGGGGUAAAUCUAAUAGUGAAAAACUGAAUAGCACAAAGUGUUUGGUACUAUAAAUAGUAUCUCGGAAAGACUAUAUGUAUGUAUGUAACUAUGUAUGUAUGUAUGUAUGUACCUUAUUUUACUUUUUAUCAUGCCUAUUGUUUACGUAGGGUGUAAUGUGGGUCGUGCCGGGCCGGCAUUGCCCACAUUUUUCGGGCCGAAACGGGCUAGGGACUGGCUCGGCCCGAGCUCUCUAGCCUUCGGCCCAGUACGGCCCCUCGGCCUGGAAGGCACGGGCCCUGCCGUGCUCCAGGCUAGCCCAUUUUUAAAUUUUUUUAAAAAAAUAUAUAAAAUAUAAGAAUAUAAACAAAAAAUUAUUUUUGUUUAAAUUGAUAUUUUGAUUAAAAUAUUUAAAAUUUAUAAAAAAUUUAUAAAAUAAUAAAUAUUUAAAUAUAUUAUAUAUAUAUUUGUAAUAUUUUUUUAAAAAAAUUUGAAAUCUUUUUUUGGUCUAAUGGACCAAAAUUAUUUUGGUCCACUUUGGUCCAUUAGACCAAAAGCAUGCCUCCCAAGGUCUGCUCACCUUGGGAGGAGGGCCACGAGAUUGGACCCAGACCCAAGACAACUUGCCUUGGGCCUGGAGUUCCGGGCCAACGGCCUCUCCUCGGCCCGGGACGGCAUAGGCCCGUUUCGGGCAGUGUCGUGCCGGGCCGUUGGGCCCCAAAAAAGCGACCUAUCAGGCGCCCGGAGAGCCGGGCUGGCCCGGUCCGGCAUGGAUGUUACAGUAGCCUUGUCCGGGCCACGGCUCGGCCUGCAUUGGUGCCAGGCAGGGCGGCCCACGGCCCGUUUUACAGCCUUAUGUUUACGGUUCAACGUUAAGUUACUUUGUAUGUGUUUUGUACCAAUGUUCUACAUUUAGGUUUUCAAAUGUUUAUUUCAAAUCAAUUGAACAUAAUAGUUUUUUACGAAAAUUAUAAUGAUGUAUAAAAUAAAAUAUAAAUUAUAGUAUCAAAACAAAUAAAAAAAAACUAUUAUUGAUACAAAAUAAACUUCCACAAUAUUAUUGAAAAAACUCUCAGCACGCAUCAUAGUAACGUACAUUAUUUUACACACAUUUUUUUUAACAUGAUCAACUGAUCACACCAUUAUUCACCUUGUCUAAUCCUGUAAUUAGGGAAAGAGCUCAAUUAUGGAGUGUGGACCACCCUUCAAAGGAGUAAUUUUGUAGUUUGCAAACCCUGCUUUGCUAAAAAUUUUUCGCCACUCGACUUCGUCGCGCUCCUUUCCGCCGAGGCCAGUCAUCAUAAUAACAUCAGACAAGAGUCCCAUUUCAUUUUUCCGGGGGUCGUCGCCGAGCGUAUUUAUCACUAUAUCCACAAUUAUGACUUUUCCGUGUUCUCCUCCAUUAGCAGAAAUUGCUUUCUUACAUUGCUUUAGAAUCUUCACGCAGUCCUCGUCGCUCCAGUCGUGAAGAACAUUCUGUGUUACACAUUUCAGGAGAUCUUUUGUCAGGAUCAAAUGCAAAUGUAACACCACUAUUUUUUGAUUGCACGUGGUAUUUGUAAUUCAUAAAAAACAAUACACGAUGAUUAAUUGCGAAAAAUAUUUGUUCAUGUAUAUAUAUAUAGAGAGAGAGAGAGAGAGUGUGUGGCUACUAUACUUUUAUGAAUAUGACCACCCUCAAACUUAUAAGUUGUUUUCGAUGAUAGAGUUUCCGAAUCGACGAUCCAUACCGUUAAAUAUUAUUUAGAACAUUUAAAACUUUUAGAAAUCAAAUUUCAUAAUUUUUCGAUAUUAUUUACCUUAUGAUUAAAAUGUCACAAAAUUGACAAAUUUUAAUGAUUGAUAUGGGAUAUGUGUUAGCUUAGCAGUGUGAAGGAAUUGGAAUAUGUUGAAUUUUUAAUAAAAAAUUAUAUUCACUACCUAAAUAAAGAUCAAUAACUCUAAUCUUAAAUUAAAAGAUCCGAUCAUCUAUUUUUCGGACAUCGUUCGAUUUUAAUCGUUGAUUUUAUGCCUGCUUGAUAGACUUUAUUAUGAUUUCGAAAAAUUACAAAAUUUAUUUUUUAGAAGUUUCAAAUACUUUAGAUCAUAUUUAAGAAAGCAGAUUGUCGAUUCGGAAGCUCUAUCAUCGAAAACAACUUAUGAGUACGAAGUGCUCUAUACUCAUAAGAAUAUAAUAGCCCUACUCUCUCUUUUUCUCUUUCUUUCUCUCUCUCUCCAUAUAUAUAUAUAUAUAUAGGCUGGAAUGCUUUUAAUAGCACUAAGUUAUUGGUGUUAUUAGAUUUUUGGUUCUUGAACAAAAGGAUGUGCUAUUAGAAUGAUAGUGAUCCUGUAGGGUUGAGUAGAUGGUUGGUUGAAUAGUAUGAUUUAUCCUAGAGUAGAUUGUUGGUUGAUUAAUAUGAUUUAACGGAUAGAGAUGGUCGAAAGGUAAAUCUAACGAUUGAAAACUUUGUAGCACCAAGUGCUUGGUGCUAUUCGAAGCACCCCAAUCGGAUUCUCUCUCUA